rnacentral:lncRNA from 1 species
GUUGGGGAACGUAGCAUGAAAUUUCAAAAAAAUUCCUAUGAUCAUGCAAGAUCCAUCUAGGAGAUGCAUUGCAACGAGAGGGGGAGAGUGUGUCCACGUACCCUCGUAGACCGAAAGCGGAAGCGUUAGCUUAACACGGUUGAUGUAGUCGAACGUCUUCUCGAUUCAAACGAUCAAGCACCGAACUUACGACACCUCCUAGUUCUGCACACAUUCAACUCGAUGACGUCUCUCGAACUCUUGAUCCAACCAAGUUUCGAGGGAGAGUUCCGUCGGCACGAUGGCAUGGUGACGGUGAUGGUGAAGUGAUCCGCGCAGGGCUUCGCCUAAGCACUACGACAAUAUGACCGGAGGAGUAAACGGUGGAGGGGGGCACCGCACACGGCUAAGAACCAUUGAUGUCACUAGAGGUGCCCCCUGCCCUUGUAUAUAAAGGAGGGAGAGGGGAGGAGGCCAGCCUAGGGGCGCGCCAAGUGGGAGGAGUCCCACUCGGGCUCCUAGUCCAAUUCGCCCCCCCCNNNNNNNNNNNNNNNNNNNNNNNNNNNNNNNNNNNNNNNNNNNNNNNNNNNNNNNNNNNNNNNNNNNNNNNNNNNNNNNNNNNNNNNNNNNNNNNNNNNNGGCGAGAGGCGGCAUAGGGACGCGGGGCGGCGGUGGUCGGCGGGCAGCUGCAUCGGGAUGAAGCGGCAGGGUGGAGCCGACGGUGAGAGGGGGCCAGCAGCGGGCGCGUCCGAACGAGGUGGGGCGCAGGCGCGGGCGCAGGCAGGGGGCACGGGCGCGGCCAGGGCGGCCGGCGCGCGUGCGGGCAUCGGUGAGCGAGGCCAUGGCCGAAGUGGCCGGAGCAGGAGAGAAGGAGGAGAUGCCGGGGCCUCACCACGGGGCCGUGGGGUCUAGGCAGCGGUGCUCGGGGAGGUUGAUGGGGACGGCCGGCGCAGGGGAGGAGGCGACGACGUAGAGGACGUCGGGGAGGCAGUCUGGGCGGCGACGACGUUGAGCUGGCUCCAGGGACGGUGAGCGGCGGGCGGUGUCGAGGGCGCCGGUGACUUCGGGGCGGCCCCAGGCGGGCGUCGCACGAGGGAGAGGAGAGGCGAGGAGUCCGAGAGGGCGGCGCCGGCUCGCGGCGGCCUUAGCGGAGCCGCGACUUGUGUUGGGCGUAGGCGUACGGGAGGGGAUCGAACAGGGCACCCCUCCCCUGUCCGUUCGCCAGGGCGUGCGUGUGUCGUGGGUGACGGCGUGGGUGAGGGGAGAAGGGGAUCGUGGGGGGCGACUGGGUUCGUUCCCCCGAUCCAGAUCUAGAUCGGGGAGGGGGAGAGAACNNNNNNNNNNUGGGGGGUGUGUAUGAGCGAGUGGGACGGGGGAUUAUGGUUUCGGGGGGGUGUUAUGGAGGGAGUUGGUGGGCCGGCCUAGUCGGCCUGAUUGGCCCAGAGGCCAGCUGGGCCGUGGCCCAGUUAGGGCAGGGGGGGGGGGUUGUUUUAUUUUAUUUUUGUUUUGUCUUCAUUUAUUCUUUUAACUUCGGUUUUUAAAUGUUUUAAUAUCAAAACAGUUUUAUCAAGCUAUAAAACCCAUACCUAAAUUAGUAAGGUAGCAUAACUCACUGUAAUAAAAUGUUCACACAUUAUCUUAACUAGCUUACAAUUACCUAUAUACAUAAAAGCAAUUAUUAAGUAUUUUCAAAUAUUGUUUUAAUUAUUUUAGUGCACAUAAAUAUUUUAUAAAAGUGUGGUUUCAUCACCUACCACUACAUAUGGAUUAAUCGACACACUCCGAGCAUUUUAGUUUUAAUGUUUGAAAACUUCAUCAUUUGGGUUUGAUUUCGAAUUUGAAUUCGAUCGGGUUUGAAUUAAUGCGAGAUUAACAAUAGUGACCUCGGUGACAUGGCAUCAUUAGUAGAGGUUACUGUAGCAUGAUUACCCGGGCAUCACAAUUCUCCUUCACUACAAGAAAUCUCGUCCCAAGAUUUAAGAGGUAGUGAAAGGGGGAAAAGGUUUGGUUACGAAUCUAGCGGGUCUUCUCAUCCUGGCUUGCUCUUCUCGAAGAGGCCGGUCCAAUACAUUGACGUCUUCAUUUCUCUGCUUCAGGUCACCAUGACGAAGUCGGCGUCCUUUCUUCAGGAACUCAAUCAUACUUACGAAAGAAUAAAGGGUGGGCAUUCCGAGAGAACAGACCUCUGCAAGGUCGACUAUCUGGUCGAUAACAUCGAGGAAGGUGGCAGAACUGCGGAAGUAACUCUUGAAUUGAAACUUACGAAAAUAUCGAGAACAUAGUAAGGAGGUAUCAUGUGAAGUUUCAAGCGGGAAGACAAACGUUCGAUGCCUGAAACGGGGCGUGAACGGGGUUCAAAGCAACGGGAAUACGUAUCGUGUCUGAUACAAGAAUUGAUGAGCUCUCCAAAGGUGGCUCGUGAUCUUUCAUAUGAAGCCAAGCUUGAGGAAUGACUUUAGAAACAGGGGUGUACGGAAGAGUCAGGUUUCGAUCCUGUGGAACUGUGGGUUAUGGGCCCACCAUGUGGGAUAAAAGUAGGAGUGGUGACAUCUUGCAUGGUCACGAUAGAAGGCAUGUCAGAGACUAGCCUGUCAGUUAUGUCGGCAACAACAUCGAUACCAAGGGCGAGGGACGAAGAGAACCAUUUUCCUGCUCGUUGAACGAGGCGGACCAAUAGGCAAAGUUCUCGUCCAUCGGUGGUUAUCGGGAUGCUAUCAAUAAUGGUAACAGGGUCUUACUGACAGAGUUGUACAACGAGGUGCUUACUAAGCAAGGAAUUAUCACUGCUCGGUUAAGUCAGAUUACAAGAAAGCUUAAACAAGACAAUGGAAAGGAAAAUGUGAUUAUCAGGUUUAACCUGAACAAUGGAAAUGAAAAUGUGUAUACAUACAUAUUUCGGGGGUAUAUCUUUCCCAAGGACAAGCGGAGCAUGAUAUCCAUGACAGGAUAGAAAGUAGAAAACCAUUAAGGUAAGGGGAAGGGAUUUCAUGAUAUUACCCAUACAACGGUGUUUGGAUAAUUGAGCAAGAAAACAUUUAGCAUUGGGCUUCAAAUGUUCUUGUCGAAAAUCAGAGUACCACAGACAUGCUUCGAGAUAGCACUGCAUGGUCUUCAAGCAAAUGUCGGACUUGGAUUCACAAAGGAUUCAUCAGGAACAACUUAUAGAAUAAGUCUUUCAAUUUCCUCAUGGAAGAAUGGAUAACCUUGCUACAAAGAAAACUAUAACAAUAGGUCCUCCGGCCAGGUGUGCUAGGCAUGACAUCACCUUACCGGUUCAUAUAAAGACCAACGUUAUAACUCUUGGAAAUAUGUUCCAACCAUCAUAUCUGACCGAGAUUCAGAUUUGAUUGGUGUCAGGAUACCUCAGACUCAGGAUGCCUGAGAAGAAAAGGUGCAACAUAAUUUGAUGAGAUGACAUUGUGAGAUUCUCAGAAAUGAUCUAUGGAAGUGAGCUCUGAAACAAGAGUUCAUCAGUAAACCAAGGAGAGGAUGAGGAGGUGGCUGAUAGGCUCAGCAACAAAUCAUCGAGAUUUCCAAAGGAUGGAUUUCCACAAUUAUGUGAACAAGGAAAUAUCAUUUGUCGGAUCAAAUGAUAUAAUGAUGUAUGCUCGAGGGAAACAUACACAACUGAACAAUGANNNNNNNNNNNNNNNNNNNNNNNNNNNNNNNNNNNNNNNNNNNNNNNNNNNNNNNNNNNNNNNNNNNNNNNNNNNNNNNNNNNNNNNNNNNNNNNNNNNNUGCGACGUGUUGAUCUUCCGAGGCCGGGCAUGACCCAGGAAAGUGUGUCCGGCCAAAUGGGAUCGAGCGUGUUGGGCUAUGUGGUGCACCCCUGCAGGGAAGUUAAUCUAUUCGAAUAGCCGUGAUCUUCGGUAACAGGACGACUUGGAGUUGUACCUUGACCUUAUGACAACUAGAACCGGAUACUUAAUAAAACACACCCUUCCAAGUUCCACAGACAACCCGGUGAUCGCUUUUCCGCAGGGCGACAAGGAGAGGAUCGCCGGGUAGGAUUAUGCUAUGCGACGCUACUGGAGAGGUUACUUGGAGAUGCUAUUGAAGAUGCUACUUGGAGGACUUUAAUCUACUCUCUCCUACAUGCUGCAAGAUGGAGGCUGCAGAAGCGUAGUCUUCGAUAAGACUAGCUAUCCCCCUCUUAUUCUGGCAUUCUGCAGUUCAGUCCACUGAUAUGGCCCUUUACACAUAUACCCAUGCAUAUGUAGUGUAGCUCCUUGCUUGCGAGUACUUUGGAUGAGUACUCACGGUUGCUUUCUCCCCCCUUUUCCCCCUUUCCUUUCUUUCUGGUUGUCGCAACCAGAUGCUGGAGUCCAGGAGCCAGACGCCACCGUCGACGACGACCCCUACUACACCGGAGGUGCCUACUACUACGUGCAGCCCGCUGACGACGACCAGGAGUAGUUUAGGAGGAUCCCGGGCAGGAGGCCUGCGCCUCUUUCGAUCUGUAUCCCAGUUUGUGCUAGCCUUCUUAAGGCAAACUUGUUUAACUUAUGUCUGUACUCAGAUGUUGUUGCUUCCGCUGACUCGUCUAUGAUCGAGCACUUGUAUUCGAGCCCUCGAGGCCCCUGGCUUGUAUUAUGAUGCUUGUAUGACUUAUUUUAUUUGUAGAGUUGUGUUGUGAUAUCUUCCCGUGAGUCCCUGAUCUUGAUCGUACACAUUUGCGUGCAUGUUUAGUGUACGAUUGAAUCGGGGGCGUCACAAGUUGGUAUCAGAGCCGACUGCCUGUAGGAAUCCCCCUUUCCAACUCCUUGGCCGAAGUUGAGUCUAGACUUUACAAAAACUUUUACUAACAUGGCUGUGCGGCCCAUGGGCCCACGUCGCCAUUGGGUGGUAUAAGGAUCUUUUAUUCCUCGACCUUUACUCUGGGACUCUGAUCUCUCCUCUAUUCGGGUUAAAUGAAGUUUAUUAAAUCUAACAUUAGGAUCUCGUUAUCACUUUCACCCGGAGAGCCCCUUAUUACUAAUGAUCGUCUGCUGCACCAGAAGACCCUGAAGAUACUCUCCACUGUUAACCCGAGAACUUGUGUUCAUCGCGUUUGCAAUUCACCUUCCACCGCAAACCCUUAUGGAUAACUACUUGCAUUUGUUAUUCUUACAUUCAUCCCCAGUGGUCUUGUUAUUACAAGAUACCCUGAAAAACUCGUCGUUGUUUCGAAAAUCCCUUGAGCUUACUGCCUUGCUGUUCUUUGUCACUUGAAUACCCCUACGGUUAAUUCUCGCACUUAUCGAGUAUCCGCUCAUCCCCCAGUUGUUCAUGUGUUACACAAAAGUCUUCGAAAUACCACCCGAUAUUCCGAAAAUCCUCAGCAACCUAUUGCUCUGGAAUUUCUUGUUUGCUUUCAUUAUGAUUAAUCCCAUAAGUAUAGAAAUCUUAUUGACAUUCCUUGUCAUUAUCAUUUUGAGUCUGUUGACUCAAUAUGCUGCGAAUACACGCAAUCAUCAUUGAUCCUUAUAAAUUACUUUUCCGGCUGAGCUUCCAUCCUUUUAACUGGAAAUGGUUCUCGACCAAUCCAAUUGUCGUUGAUUGUACCCUAAGGCUAUUCAACUUAUCCAUCCCUAAUCAGAGCAUUGAUUCUGUUCCCUUAAUUUGGAAAUCAUAAUUACUUUGCAUUUGAGCUCUGGAUUAGUCAGUUGUUUCUAUAAUCCAAUGCCCUUGCAUUGUUACUUCCUCUGAUGGUGUGCCGAUGCUCACAUCAGCUCUGUUAUGGACCGACAGAUCCUUUAAUGGAUUUUAUCCGACAUUGUCCUUCAUAUUCAAUAACCUUGUGAGCCUUCCCUUGGAUACAUAAUGCCUUUGGUAAAUUGUAUCAUCUACUUUCUCAACCUUGCUCUACUUUUGAGCUUGUGAUAUUUACUAUUGAAGUUUGUGGUAUAUGUUCGUAAGAUGCCCGGAUGGGUUGAACCUAUGCCUUCCUUAAUAUGUGUGAACUCGAAAGAUUUCACGAGUCAUACUCAUCUGGUAUUUCACCAGGUAAAACUUUCAACACUAAUGCCUUUAUCAAAGCGAGAAGUGAAUGGAAGAUUAUACAUUAAAGAAGUGGGAGUCGACCUUGAACUUUGUGUUCAUGCCCAUAGACACGAUGUAGAUCUUCUCAUCGAAGCUUCUUUUAAAAUUAAUUAUUCCCUUGGUAUAAGUUCAUCUUAUAUCUGGGAUCUGGCCUUUUUCAAUCGUGGUUCCGACCAUGUUCUCCUUUAAAUACCAAUUCUCGUGCAAGUUUAAGCACUUGUCUUCUGCAGAGCAAUACCCCAGUCCAACCUCUAUUUUGAUCUGUCGUCGAGUAUUACCCCCUGGUAUCUCGAGAUUAUCAUGGAACUGCAUAACUUCUUAUGAGUUCUUCAUCAAGUGCUACGUUCCCACUGAUUACAAUUUUUCAUGGGCUCUGAGUUAUUAAACACUCAAAGACACCGAUAACUGAACCGAGUCCGCUCUACGGUUCAGCAACUCUUCAGUAAGCUUCUAUAAGUACGAGUUUGUACCCGAUCACGCCAUUCCUAGCCUGUUUGGCUAUAUCAUUGUCGUGACGAUUCUAACGGUGCUACCUGGUCCUUAUUCUCGGAGCACCAAUUUUCGACGAUGAACUAACCUUACGUCGAUUUUUCCUCGUCAUACCCUUUCACCUUAAACAACAAGCUUGAGUUCGAGUUUGUGUCGUAACUGUGGUUCCAAUAACCUCUUGCUUCAUCAUUCCUUUGACUUGAUGUCGUCGCUGAUUGACUACAUCUNNNNNNNNNNNNNNNNNNNNNNNNNNNNNNNNNNNNNNNNNNNNNNNNNNNNNNNNNNNNNNNNNNNNNNNNNNNNNNNNNNNNNNNNNNNNNNNNNNNNGGUAACAAAAAUCUGAUAAUUAUGUAUAUCAGUAGCCCCUGAGACUUGAAACAGUUGGUACAACUAAUUUAAGGAUCAUUGUAUGAAUAGGUUCUUACAGAGAAGAAUACCCAUUUGUAUCAAGAGCUGGAAGAGUGUAAAGCCCAACUAAGGGCCGCAACUGCCGAAAUGGAGGAAUCCAAGAAGGGCUCAUCUGGUAAUAUUUCUCUCGAUCGAGAAGAAACAUAAUAUCGUGUUCCAUUUACUGUUCGGCACAUUGCAGAUCUAACAAUAGAUUCCGCACGUAAUCCCGAAGUGAAUCCGGAGAUCCUACAAGAGGAUGAACAAAGAGCUCAACGACAACUAGAGGCUAGCGAGCGUGUACUUACACGGGUCAGGCGAGAGAAAAAUGAUCUCCAGGAUGCCAAUACCCAGCUGGGCGUAGAAUUGAAAGAUGUUCGGGCCCAGCUAGCUGACUCCGUGAAGGAGAAUAGAAGGCUUCAAUGCGGCAUUUUUAGUAUGUGCUCAAACGAACCUUUAUAUAGUUCGGCGAAGAAACGGGCUAACAGAGUUAUGUCUGUACGUAUACUGACUGGUCGUCCCGAAGAGGAGAUGCACGAAUCCUCAUGCGAUCUUCUGCAAGAGCUUUCGCAACUGCACGAACAAGUUCGGCAGGUGAUGCAGGGAGUCGCCAAGGCCUUGUGGCCAUCCGCCUCCCUGCUAGGAAGCAUGGGGGAGCUUGUACAGCUGCUCAAGGGAGCGCGGCACCACUUCCGAUUAUGGAAGAUAUUUGCAUGUCGACAAGGUGCGAGGAAAGCUUGGGCCAUGGUAAAAACACGGUAUACCAAGCUGGAUCCGAAUAACAUGGCCCGGGUCGGACUUGUAGGGUCAGAUGGGAAAGAGAUUAGCUUGGUAUAUGACCAGGUAGGAUUAGCUGCAAAGUAUUCCCAACAGGAUUGUAGGCUGGACAGCCUAUUGGAUGGCAUAGAAGAAGAAGUAAGUGAGUCUAAGUGACUAUGUACUUCGAUUGACAUAUUUUGUCCCUAGCCGGAUUGUAAAUCAUUUGUCAUGGCGGACCUUUUCGCUUCAACCUCCGGACCCGACAGUCCGGAGUGUUUCCGAAUACCCGCUCAGUUAUAUAAACUGGGGUACGCGUGGAAACCAGGCAUAGGGGUCAUAAUUGCUUGAACAGACAAGUACCCAACUAGCUAUGUUAUAUUACAUGGAUAGUAAGAAACAUCUUCCAGGGAGAAUAGUUCCGUUAAGGGUUCCUUUCCCUGGGUACGCAUGCAUUAAUGUGCUUGUCCGAACUGCGAGCAGAAAUGCAGUAUAUGCAACAUCUGGGGGUUUGUAUUGUAAUAGGUAAAAACAUCUUUAGUUCACCGACCGAAUAUUCCAUUAAGAACGCUAGCUUUCGGCUUCACCUAGUCUGAGGUACACGUCCGGAGUACCCGGCAGUAACAAUCGCAGAGGUGCUCCCCUUAUGCCCUAGCCGAACUAAGGGGAACGUAGGGCCUAAACACAAGAGCCAGGCAACCCAGCUUGGCCAAAACCUAAGUCAUAUCGAUGCAUAUAAUGGUGAAGAAAAGGUACAUAUGGGAAAGCAACACACAUGCAGUGGGCGUGAUGCCCGAAAGAUAAUUAUAUUAAGCUUCUAUAUAAGAAGCCCCCAGGUAUAGUGAGUGCGCAUACUUGAGGAUUUAGCGCGUCAAGUGUGUGUAGUUGAGUCACACUUAAAGCCUUAGAGCCAUAAAAAGAAAAGGAGAGGAUAUAACUAAAAAAGGCGGACGAAAGGAAACGAACACAGAGUUCGGCGCUAGGCGUAGAAUCUUCGGAGUCUGGCCGCGUUCCAUGGGUUCGGCUCGAGUCGAUUAUCUGAUGCAUCACGCAGGCGGUACGCUCCUCCGGUGAGAACUUUAUCGAUGAUGAAGGUACCCUCCCACUUGGGCUUGAGCUUGUCAUUUCUCUUCUCACGUAGGCAUAGAAUGAGUUUGCCAAUGUUAUAAGUUUUGGCCCGUACUUCUCUAUUUUGAUACCUGCGAGCCUGUUGCUGAUAGAAUGCGGAACGGGCUUUUGUGACGUUGCGCUCCUCCUCCAAGGCAUCUAAGCUGUCCUGCUGAUCAAGCUUGGCUUCUCUCUCUUCAUACAUGCGCACUCGAGGUGAGUCAUGAAUGAUAUCGCAGGGCAACACCGCCUCUGCGCCGUACACCAUGAAGAAGGGUGUGUAUCCGGUAGUGUGAUUUGGCAUGGUCCAGAGCGCCCAUAGUACAGAGUCGAGCUCCUCGACCCAGUGCGUGUCUGAUUCCUUCAGAGAUCGCACUAGUCAAGAUUUUAAGCACAUAGAGAGGAAACUUGACAUUAUUGCAAUUCCUACAAGCAUAUGUUCCUCCCUCAUAAUAAUUUUCAGUAGCAUCAUGAAUGAAUUCAACAAUAUAACCAGCACAUAAAGCAUUCUUUUCAUGAUCUACAAGCAUAGAAAAUUUACUACUCUCAACAUAAGCAAAUUUCUUCUUUAUAGCAUACGUAUCAUCACAAUAAUCAUCAUAGAUAGGAGGCAUGCUUUCAUCAUAGUAAAUUUGCUCAUCAAAACUUGGGGGACAAAAUAUAUCAUAUUCAUCAAACAUAGCUUCCCCAAGCUUGUGGCUUUGCAUAUCAUCAGCGUCAUGGAUAUUCAAGGAAUUCAUACUAACAACAUUGCAAUCAUGCUCAUCAUAUAAAAACAUUCUAUAGAUUUCUUCUUCUAGCACUUGAGCACAAUUUUCCUUUCCAUCAUACUCACGAAAGAUAUUAAAAAGGUGAAGCGUAUGAGACAAACUCAACUCCAUUUUGUUUUGUAGUUUUCUUUUAUAAACUAGACUAGUGCUAAAACAAGAAACAAAAAGAUUCGAUUGCAAGAUCUAAAGAUAUACCUUCACUUACCUAGCCUCCCCGGCAACGGCGCCAGAAAAGAGCUUGAUGUCUACUACACAACCUUCUUCUUGUAGACGUUGUUGGGCCUGCAAGUGCACAUGUUUGUAGGANNNNNNNNNNNNNNNNNNNNNNNNNNNNNNNNNNNNNNNNNNNNNNNNNNNNNNNNNNNNNNNNNNNNNNNNNNNNNNNNNNNNNNNNNNNNNNNNNNNNUGAAGGGAUUGACAACCCCUUACCGCGUUGGGUGCAAGUUUGUUAAUUGUUUUUGCAGGUAUUCGGUGACUUGUGGGUAGUCUCCUACUGAAUUGAUACCCCGGUUCUCAAACUGAGGGAAAUACUUACUCUACUUUGCUGCAUCAUCCUUUGCUCUUCAAGGGAAAAACCAAUGCAAGCUCAAGAGGUAGCAGGAAGAAUUUCUGGCGCCGUUACCGAGGACAUCUACACCAAGUCAAGACAUACCAAGUACCCAUCAUAAACUCUCAUCUCUUGCAUUACAUUAUUUUCCAUUCAUCUCUCGUUUUCCUCUCCACCACCUCUAAUUUUUUUUUCGAAAAGAUGUUCCUUUUCUUCCCGUCUUUUCCGUUCAUCUUCUUUCGUUUGCUUCUUGUGUGCUUGUGUGUUGGGUGUCUGUUUUCAUUGAUCGCGCAACCAAAAAGCGUUGAUCCUCACCUUAGGAGCUUGGAAGAAAUUGAGAAUAAUGUUAUAAGCUUUAUGUCUUUAAAAUUUGAGCAUAAUAAUUUCUUUAGAAACGAGCUUAAAGAACAAAAAAGUUUUAUGGAGUAUUUGAAUAAAGAGCUCGAUGAUAUGUCUAAAGAAUUUUAUGGUUUGAAUUCUCAGUUUGCUCAUCUUGAAAAUUUUGUAGGUCAAAUUUCUAAUAAACAAGCCACCUUAGUUAAUAAGAUGGCCGCUAAACCCGAGGCUCUAAAUAAUAAUGAUGAAGAUCUAAAGGUUAUUGAUGUGACUCCAAUUGAAUCUUUGUUUUCCAAUGUUAAUCUUGAUAAAUAUGGGACUGGAGAUGAGUCAACUUUAGUUAAAAGGCGUCCCAAUGAUUUGGAGUUUUUAGAUCUAGAGGCAAAAAUUGAUAAAAGUGGGAUUGGAGAGGUCAAAACUUUACAUAGCAAUGAACCCACUAUUUUGGAUUUCAAGGAAUUUAAUUGUGAUAAUUGUUCUUUAAUAGAUUGCAUUUCCUUGUUGCAAUCCGUAUUGAAUUCUCCUCAUGCUUAUAAUCAAAACAAAGCUUUUACAAAACAUAUCGUUGAUGCUAUGAUGCAAUCUUUUGAAGAAAGCUUGAAUUAGAAGUUUCUAUCCCUAAAAAACUUUAUGACGAGUGAGAACCUACUAUUAAGAUUAAUAUCAAAGAUUAUGAAUGCCAUGCUUUGUGUGAUUUGGAUGCUAGUGUUUCCACGAUUCCAAAAAUGUGUGUGAUGUGUUAGGGUUUCAUGAAGUUGAUGAUUGUUCUUUAAAUUUGCAUAUUGCGGAUUCCACUAUUAAGAAACCUAUGGGAAGGAUUAAUGAUGUUCUUAUUGUUGCAAAUAGGAAUUAUGUGCCCGUAGAUUUCAUUGUCCUUGAUACAGAUUGCAAUCAUACAUGUCCUAUUAUUCUUGGUAGUCCUUUCCUUAGAAUGAUUGGUGCAAUUAUUGAUAUCAAAGAAGGAAACAUUAGAUUCCAAUUUCCGUUAAGGAAAGGCGUGGAACACUUUCCUAGAAUAAAAUAAAAUUGCCAUAUGAAUCUAUUAUGAGAGCCACUUAUGGAUUGCAUGUCAAAGAUGACAAUACCUAGAUCUAUUCGUGUUUUUAUGCCUAGCUAAGGGCGUUAAACAAUAGCACUUAUUUGGAGGCAACCCAAUUUUAUAUUUGUUCUUUGCUUUUUGUUCCUAUUUAGUAAUAAAUAAUUCAUCUAGCCUCUGGUUAGAUGUGGUUUUAUGUUUUAGUUAGUGUUUGUGCCAAGUUAAAUCUUUAGGAUAGCUUACGGUGCUAGUUGUGUUGAUCCUGCUGAAAAUCAGAAACUUUUGCGCCCAGGAAAAUAAUUUUCAUAAUUCACAGAGACGUGCUUUUGAUCUGAUUCUUUUUGCUCUGGAUCGGUACACAAAUUGCUCAGGUUUUUAUAACUUUUCAGAAUGUUUUGGAGUUACAGAAGUAUUCAAGAGUUACAGAUUGCUACAGACUGUUCUAUUUUUGAUAGAUUUUGUUUUUUGCAUGUUGUUUGCUUAUUUUGAUGAAUCUAUGGGUAGUAUCGAGGGGUAUGAACCAUGGAAAAGUUGGAAUACAGUAGAUAUUACACCAAUAUAAAUAAAUAAUGAGUUUGCAAUAGUACCUUAAAUUGGUGAUUUAUUUUCUUAUACUAUUGGAGCUCAUGAGAUUUUCUGUUGAGUUUUGUGUUGUGAAGUUUUCAAGUUUUGGGUAAGGAUUUGAUGGACUAUGGAAUAAGGAGUGGCAAGAGCCUAAGCUUGGGGAUGCCCAAGGCACCCCAAGGUAAUAUUCAUAUUCGUCUAUCGGUAACUUUACUUUAGGCUAUAUUUUAUUCACCACAUAAUAUGUGUUUUGCUUGGAGCGUCUUGUAUGAUUUGAGUCUUUGCUUUUUAGUUUUUCACAAUCAUCCUUGAUGUACACACCUUUUGAGAGAGACACACAUGAAUUGUGAUUUAUUAGAAUACUCUAUGAGCUUCACUUAUAUCUUUUGAGCUAAACAAUAUUGCUCUAGUACUUCACUUAUAUUUUUUUAGAGCGCGGUGGUGGCUUUAUUUUAUAGAAAUUAAUGAACUCGCAUGCUUAACUUAUAUUAUUUUGAGAGUCUUUUAGAACAGCAUGGUAAUUUUCUUUGGUUAUAAAUUUAGUCCUAAUAUGAUAGACAUCCAAGAUGGAUAUAAUAAAAACUUUCAUAUAAAGUGCAUUGAAUACUAUGAGAAGUUCCAUUCUUUAUGAUUGUUUUGAGAUAUGAAGAUGGUGAUAUUAGAGUCAUGCUUGUGAGUAGUUGUGAAUUUGAGAGAUACUUGUGUUAAAGUUUGUGAUUCCCGUAGCAUGCACAUAUGGUGAACCGUUAUGUGAUGAACUCGGAGCAUGAUUUAUUUUUUGAUUGUCUUUCUUAUGAGUGGCGGUCGGUGAUGAGUGAUGGUCUUUUUCUACCAAUCUAUCCCCCUAGGAGCAUGCACGUAGUACUUCGUUUUGAUAACUAAUAGAUUUUUACAAUAAGUAUGUGAAUUCUUUAUGACUAAUNNNNNNNNNNNNNNNNNNNNNNNNNNNNNNNNNNNNNNNNNNNNNNNNNNNNNNNNNNNNNNNNNNNNNNNNNNNNNNNNNNNNNNNNNNNNNNNNNNNNGGGGGGGGGAUUUCGUGGCCCUUGGUGGAGGGGUCCGAAAUCAACCCUAUCUCUUGUUUCCCUGCACAUACGGACUCUAAAAAUAGCCUAUACUUAUGUAUUUCGAAAUUACAUGGGCCUGGCCCAAUAAUAAGGUGACGCAGCACCUAGAAUAGCCUCGGGACGAAAUUUAUGAAGUGGUAUCUUGUAUAUUUCGUCCAAGGCUUCAUGCACCCAUUAUGGUGGCUUCAAAGUCCUGAAAUCAUCACUUGUAACUCCGUUCUUGUUUCCCUUGCGCAUGCCAUCAUCUCCAUGCUUGUUCUUGCUCCAAUGUUUAUCCUUCUCCAUGCUAGGCCCUUCAUUUGUAAGCAAAACAAAUGUAUCCAAUUUAGGCAACAUCAUAUUCUCAUGAACAUUAGAAUCAUUACCAAGAAAUGAAAGUACCUGGUAAUUUAGUUGGCGUGCGCGAGCUCUAGUAAUUGGUCCAGUAUGUAUAGCAGCAGGGGCUGUGGGUGUAACAAAGGUAUUGAUGUCCUCAUCAUCCUCCCCUUCUUGAAAUGAAGUCGUCCUCGACGGAAGUUCAUCUUCCUCACCCAAGUAAGGCUUCAAAUCUGCAAUGUUAAAAGUGGGACUAACCCCAAAAUCUGCAGGCAGCUCAAGUUUAUAUGCAUUAUCAUUUAUUUUCUCCAACGCCUUAAAGGGACCAUCAGCAUGUGGCAUUAGCUUUGAUUUGCGCAAAUCAGGAAAUCUAUCCUUACGCAAAUGUAACUAAACAAGAUCUCCAGGUGCAAACACAACAUGUUUUCUAGCCUUAUCUCCAGCAAGUUUAUAUUUAGCAUUCAUACGCUCAAUGUUUUCCUUAGUUAACUCAUGCAUUUUUAAAAUCAAUUCAGCACGUUGUUUAGCACUAAAAUUAACCUUCUCCGAAGAUGGAAGAGGCAACAAAUCAAUAGGUGCACGAGGUAGGAAACCAUACACAACUUCAAAAGGGCACAUCUUAGUAGUAGAAUGCAAUGAAUGAUUAUAAGCAAAUUCAAUAUGAGGCAAGCAUUCCUCCCACAUUUUCUUAUUAUUCUUCAAAACAGCCCUAAGCAUAGUAGACAAUGUUCUAUUGAUUACUUCAGUUUGUCCAUCAGUUUGGGGGUGACAACUAGUACUAAAAAGCAGUGUAGUCCCCCACUUAGCCCAUAAACAUCUCCAAAAGUGGCUAAGAAAUUUAGUAUCACAAUCUGAAACAAUAGUAUUUGGCACACCAUGCAAGCGAAUAAUUUCACGAAAGAACAAAUUAGCAACAUUAACAACAUCAUCGCUUUUAUGACACGGUAUAAAGUGUGCCAUUUUCGAGAAUCUAUCCACGACAACAAAUAUGCUAUCCCUCCCCUUCUUUGUUCUAGGUAAACCUAAAACAAAGUCCAUAGAUAUAUCCUCCCAAGGAACACUAGGUACAGGCAAAGGCAUAUAUAAACCAUGAGGAUUGAGUCAUGACUUAGCUUUUUGACAUGUAGUGCAACGAGCAAUUAAACGCUCAAAAUCCCGUCUCAUCUUUGGCCAAAAGAAAUGUGUAGCAAGUACGUCCUCCGUCUUCUUCACGCCAAAGUGUCCCAUUAGUCCUCCUCCAUGCGCCUCCUGCAACAACAAAAGACGAACGGAGCUAGCUGGAAUGCAUAGCUUGUUAGCACGGAACACAAAUCCAUCAUUAACGACGAACUUGUUCCAUGUUCUUCCUUCUUUACAAUUCUGCAAUAUAUCUUUAAAAUCAGCAUCAUGCACAUAUUGAUCUUUGAUGGUCUCCAAACCAAAUAUUUUGAAGUCAAGUUGUGAAAGCAUAGUAUAGCGACGAGACAAUGCAUCAGCAAUAACAUUUUCUUUACCCUUCUUUUGUUUAAUGACAUAAGAGAAAGUCUCAAUGAAUUCAACCCAUUUAGCAUGUCUACGAUUCAGUUUAGCUUGAGUUUUAAUAUGUUUCAAAAAUUCAUGAUCAGAAUGUAUAACAAAAUCUUUGGGCCAUAAAUAAUGUUGCCAUGUUUAUGAAGUCCGAACAAGAGCAUAUAAUUCUUUAUCAUAAGUAGAAUAAUUCAGACUAGGCCCACUCAAUUUUUCAGAAAAGUAUGCAAUAGGUUUGUCAUCUUGUAAUAAGAUACCUCCUAAUCCAAUUCCACUAGCAUCACAUUCAAGCUCAAAAGUCUUAUUAAAAUCAGGAAGUUGGAGUAAAGGAGCAUGUGUCAACUUAUCUUUCAAUACCGUGCAGGCUUCUUCCUGUGCGGUACCCCAAACAAAAGGCACAUCCAUCUUUGUAAGCUUGUUGAGAGGUGCAGCAAUGGUGCUGAAAUCUCUCACAAAACGCCUAUAGAAUCCAGCGAGGCCAAGAAAACUCCUCACUUGUGUGACCGUUUUGGGCUGCGGCCAACUCUCAAUAGCUUCAAUCUUGGCUUUGUCAACUUUAAUUCCCUGUGGAGUAACAACAUAGCCAAGAAAAGAUACUCGGUCGGUGCAAAAGGUGCACUUCCCAAGGUUACCAAACAAACGUGCAUCACGUAGAGCAAUAAAAACAACACGUAAAUGUACCAUCCUUUUUCGGCACUAGAAUAAUAGGAACAACACAAGGACUAAGGGAUUCGCGUAUAUAACCUUUGUCGAGCAGCUCCUGUACUUGACACAUAAUCUCCUUCGUCUCCUCUGGAUUGGUACGGUAUGGUGCACGGUUGGGUAAUGAUGCAUCAGGAAUUAAGUCAAUCUGAUGCUCAAUCCCUCGAAUGGGAGGUAAUCCCGGUGGCACGUCUUGUGGAAAGACGUCAGCGAACUCCUGCAAAAUGUUAGUGACAGCAGGAGGCAAAGAGGAAGGCACGUCCUCGAAUGAAAAUAAUGCCUCUUUGCACACAAAAGCAUAGCAAACAGAUUUGCUGAAAUCUAGCUCAUCAAUAUCAAAUUUAGUGGCAAGUAGACAUGCGCUUUUCAAUUUAAUUUCAGAAGCAACACUAGAUCGUUUACUAUUAGGCUUCAUUUGCUGCUCAAAUUCUUUCNNNNNNNNNNNNNNNNNNNNNNNNNNNNNNNNNNNNNNNNNNNNNNNNNNNNNNNNNNNNNNNNNNNNNNNNNNNNNNNNNNNNNNNNNNNNNNNNNNNNGGGGGGGGGAUUUCGUGGCCCUUGGUGGAGGGGUCCGAAAUCAACCCUAUCUCUUGUUUCCCUGCACAUACGGACUCUAAAAAUAGCCUAUACUUAUGUAUUUCGAAAUUACAUGGGCCUGGCCCAAUAAUAAGGUGACGCAGCACCUAGAAUAGCCUCGGGACGAAAUUUAUGAAGUGGUAUCUUGUAUAUUUCGUCCAAGGCUUCAUGCACCCAUUAUGGUGGCUUCAAAGUCCUGAAAUCAUCACUUGUAACUCCGUUCUUGUUUCCCUUGCGCAUGCCAUCAUCUCCAUGCUUGUUCUUGCUCCAAUGUUUAUCCUUCUCCAUGCUAGGCCCUUCAUUUGUAAGCAAAACAAAUGUAUCCAAUUUAGGCAACAUCAUAUUCUCAUGAACAUUAGAAUCAUUACCAAGAAAUGAAAGUACCUGGUAAUUUAGUUGGCGUGCGCGAGCUCUAGUAAUUGGUCCAGUAUGUAUAGCAGCAGGGGCUGUGGGUGUAACAAAGGUAUUGAUGUCCUCAUCAUCCUCCCCUUCUUGAAAUGAAGUCGUCCUCGACGGAAGUUCAUCUUCCUCACCCAAGUAAGGCUUCAAAUCUGCAAUGUUAAAAGUGGGACUAACCCCAAAAUCUGCAGGCAGCUCAAGUUUAUAUGCAUUAUCAUUUAUUUUCUCCAACGCCUUAAAGGGACCAUCAGCAUGUGGCAUUAGCUUUGAUUUGCGCAAAUCAGGAAAUCUAUCCUUACGCAAAUGUAACUAAACAAGAUCUCCAGGUGCAAACACAACAUGUUUUCUAGCCUUAUCUCCAGCAAGUUUAUAUUUAGCAUUCAUACGCUCAAUGUUUUCCUUAGUUAACUCAUGCAUUUUUAAAAUCAAUUCAGCACGUUGUUUAGCACUAAAAUUAACCUUCUCCGAAGAUGGAAGAGGCAACAAAUCAAUAGGUGCACGAGGUAGGAAACCAUACACAACUUCAAAAGGGCACAUCUUAGUAGUAGAAUGCAAUGAAUGAUUAUAAGCAAAUUCAAUAUGAGGCAAGCAUUCCUCCCACAUUUUCUUAUUAUUCUUCAAAACAGCCCUAAGCAUAGUAGACAAUGUUCUAUUGAUUACUUCAGUUUGUCCAUCAGUUUGGGGGUGACAACUAGUACUAAAAAGCAGUGUAGUCCCCCACUUAGCCCAUAAACAUCUCCAAAAGUGGCUAAGAAAUUUAGUAUCACAAUCUGAAACAAUAGUAUUUGGCACACCAUGCAAGCGAAUAAUUUCACGAAAGAACAAAUUAGCAACAUUAACAACAUCAUCGCUUUUAUGACACGGUAUAAAGUGUGCCAUUUUCGAGAAUCUAUCCACGACAACAAAUAUGCUAUCCCUCCCCUUCUUUGUUCUAGGUAAACCUAAAACAAAGUCCAUAGAUAUAUCCUCCCAAGGAACACUAGGUACAGGCAAAGGCAUAUAUAAACCAUGAGGAUUGAGUCAUGACUUAGCUUUUUGACAUGUAGUGCAACGAGCAAUUAAACGCUCAAAAUCCCGUCUCAUCUUUGGCCAAAAGAAAUGUGUAGCAAGUACGUCCUCCGUCUUCUUCACGCCAAAGUGUCCCAUUAGUCCUCCUCCAUGCGCCUCCUGCAACAACAAAAGACGAACGGAGCUAGCUGGAAUGCAUAGCUUGUUAGCACGGAACACAAAUCCAUCAUUAACGACGAACUUGUUCCAUGUUCUUCCUUCUUUACAAUUCUGCAAUAUAUCUUUAAAAUCAGCAUCAUGCACAUAUUGAUCUUUGAUGGUCUCCAAACCAAAUAUUUUGAAGUCAAGUUGUGAAAGCAUAGUAUAGCGACGAGACAAUGCAUCAGCAAUAACAUUUUCUUUACCCUUCUUUUGUUUAAUGACAUAAGAGAAAGUCUCAAUGAAUUCAACCCAUUUAGCAUGUCUACGAUUCAGUUUAGCUUGAGUUUUAAUAUGUUUCAAAAAUUCAUGAUCAGAAUGUAUAACAAAAUCUUUGGGCCAUAAAUAAUGUUGCCAUGUUUAUGAAGUCCGAACAAGAGCAUAUAAUUCUUUAUCAUAAGUAGAAUAAUUCAGACUAGGCCCACUCAAUUUUUCAGAAAAGUAUGCAAUAGGUUUGUCAUCUUGUAAUAAGAUACCUCCUAAUCCAAUUCCACUAGCAUCACAUUCAAGCUCAAAAGUCUUAUUAAAAUCAGGAAGUUGGAGUAAAGGAGCAUGUGUCAACUUAUCUUUCAAUACCGUGAAGGCUUCUUCCUGUGCGGUACCCCAAACAAAAGGCACAUCCAUCUUUGUAAGCUUGUUGAGAGGUGCAGCAAUGGUGCUGAAAUCUCUCACAAAACGCCUAUAGAAUCCAGCGAGGCCAAGAAAACUCCUCACUUGUGUGACCGUUUUGGGCUGCGGCCAACUCUCAAUAGCUUCAAUCUUGGCUUUGUCAACUUCAAUUCCCUGUGGAGUAACAACAUAGCCAAGAAAAGAUACUCGGUCGGUGCAAAAGGUGCACUUCCCAAGGUUACCAAACAAACGUGCAUCACGUAGAGCAAUAAAAACAACACGUAAAUGUACCAUCCUUUUUCGGCACUAGAAUAAUAGGAACAACACAAGGACUAAGGGAUUCGCGUAUAUAACCUUUGUCGAGCAGCUCCUGUACUUGACACAUAAUCUCCUUCGUCUCCUCUGGAUUGGUACGGUAUGGUGCACGGUUGGGUAAUGAUGCAUCAGGAAUUAAGUCAAUCUGAUGCUCAAUCCCUCGAAUGGGAGGUAAUCCCGGUGGCACGUCUUGUGGAAAGACGUCAGCGAACUCCUGCAAAAUGUUAGUGACAGCAGGAGGCAAAGAGGAAGGCACGUCCUCGAAUGAAAAUAAUGCCUCUUUGCACACAAAAGCAUAGCAAACAGAUUUGCUGAAAUCUAGCUCAUCAAUAUCAAAUUUAGUGGCAAGUAGACAUGCGCUUUUCAAUUUAAUUUCAGAAGCAACACUAGAUCGUUUACUAUUAGGCUUCAUUUGCUGCUCAAAUUCUUUCNNNNNNNNNNNNNNNNNNNNNNNNNNNNNNNNNNNNNNNNNNNNNNNNNNNNNNNNNNNNNNNNNNNNNNNNNNNNNNNNNNNNNNNNNNNNNNNNNNNNUCUGAAAUUCAUGAAACUUGGCAUGCUAUCAUGGAGCGGAAUCAACAUGUCGUGGUACAAAUUUUGUCCCAUUUGGGGCAGGUUUGGGUAUAUGCUUCUUCCAAACCGGAGCUUCUCACGACAAGCAUGAUGGUUUUCGGUAGGGAACGUCCCACCUUUGGGGACGAAACGAUAUCCAUUGCCUCUUAUUGCUUUCAAAUUUUUUUCUCGUGUCAACAUAGAACAACAUGAGUGUUGUUUGAAUUUUUGUGAUCUUUUGGGGUUCGUUUGGACAUUUUUUAUGCAUUAACUGAGUUUUCAAUGCAUUUAUGUGCGUAAUUCAAAUUUAAACUAAAUGCACAUGUUCCAGUGCAUAUAAAUUGGUCGAAAAAUCAAAUAUGUGUACUUGGGUGCAUGCUUAGGUCCCAUGCAAGAAAUGGGAAUGAAUUUCAAACACCAGGGCACCGUUGAUUGUCGGAAAAACAUUGGGAUGCCUGGUUUUUAAAUUCUAGUAAAUCCAAAACCCGUCUGAAAUUCAUGAAACUUGGCAUGCUAUCAUGGAGCGGCAUCAACAUGCCAUGGUACAAAUUUUGUCCCAUUUGGGGCAGGUUUGGGUAUAUGCUUCUCACAAACCGGAGCUUCUCACAACGAGCAUGACGGUUUUCGGUAAGUAACGUCCCACCUUUGGGGACGAAACGAUAUCCAUUGCCUCUUAUUGCUUUCAAAUUUUUUUCUCGUGUCAAGAUAGAAGAACAGGAGUGUUGUGUGAAUUUUUUGUAAUUUUUCGGGGUUCGUUUGGACAUUUCUAUGCAUUAACUGAGCUUUCAAUGCAUUUAUGUGCAUAAUUCAAAUUGAACUACAUGCACAUGCUCCAGUGCAUAUAAAUUGGAUGAAAAAACAAAUUUGUGUCCUUGGGUGCAUGCUUAGGUCCCACACAAGAAAUGGGAAUGAAUUUCAAACACCAGGGCACCAUUGAUUGCUGAAAAAACAUUGAGAUGCCUGGUUUUUAAAUUCUAGUAAAUCCAAAACUCGUCUGAAAUUCAUGAAACUUGGCAUGCUAUCAUGGAGCGGCAUCAACAUGUCGUGGUACAAAUUUUGUCCCAUUUGGGGCAGGAUUGGGUAUAUGCUUCUCACAAACCGGAGCUUCUCACAACAAGCAUGAUGGUUUUCGGUAGGGAACUUCCCACCUUUGGGGACGAAAAGAUAUCCAUUGCCUCUUGUUGCUUUCAAAUUUUUUUUCUUGUGUCAACAUAGAACAACAUGAGUGUUUUGUGAAUUUUUGUGAUUUUUCGGGGUCUAUUUGGACAUUUUUAUGCAUUAACUGAGUUUAUGUGCAUAAUUCAAAUUUGAACUACAUGCACAUGCUCCAGUGCAUAUAAAUUGGUCGAAAAAUCAAAUCUGUGUCCUUGGGUGCAUGCAUAGGUCCCAUGCACGAAAUGGGAAUGAAUUUAAAAUACCAGGGCACUGUUGAUUGCCGCAAAACAUUGAGAUGUCUGGUUUAUAAUUCUAGUAAAUCUAAAACAAGUCCGAAAUUCAUGAAACUUGGCAUGCUAUCAUGGAGCGGCAUCAACAUGUCAUCGUACAAAUUUUGUCCCAUUUGGGGCAGGUUUGGGUAUAUGCUUCUCACAAACUGGAGCUUCUCACAACAAGCAUGAUGGUUUUCGGUAGGGAACGCCCCACCUUUGGGGACGAAACGAUAUCCAUUGCCUCUUAAUGCUUUCAAUUUUUUUUCUCGUGUCAACAUAGACCAACAGGAGUGUUGUGUGAUUUUUUGUGAUUUUUUGGGGUUCGUUUGGACAUUUUUUUGCAUUAACUGAGUUUUCAAUGCAUUUAUGUGCAUAAUUCAAAUUCUAACUACAUGCAUAUGCUCCAGUGUAUAUAAAUUGGUCGAAAAAUCAAAUAUGUGUCCUUGGGUGCAUGCUUAGGUCCCAUUCGAGAAAUGGGAAUGAAUUUUAAACACCAGGGCACCGUUGAUUGCCGGCAAAACAUUGAGUUGCCCGGUUUUUAAAUUCUAGUAAAUCCAAAACUCGUAUGAAAUUCAUGAAACUUGGCAUGCUAUCAUGGAGCGGCAUCAACAUGCCGUGGUACAAAUUUUGUCCCAUUUGGCGCAGGUUUGGGUAUAUGCUUCUCACAAACCGGAGCUUCUCACAAUAAGCAUGAUGGUUUUCGGUAGGGCACGUCCCACCUUUGGGGACGAAACGAUAUCCAUUGCCUCUUAUUGCUUUCAAAUUAUUUUCUCAUGUCAACAUAGAAUGAUAGGAGUGUUCUGUGAAUUUUUGUGAUUUUUGGGCUUCGUUUGGACAUUUUUAUGCAUUAAUAGAGUUUUAAUUGCAUUUAUGUGCGUAAUUCAAAUUUGAACUAAAUGCACAUGCUCCAGUGCAUAUAAAUUGGUCGAAAAAUCAAAUAUGUGUCCUUGGGUGCAUGCUUAGGUCCCAUGCAAGAAAUGGGAAUGAAUUUCAAACACCAGGGCACCGUUGAUUGCCCGCAAAACAUUGAGAUGCCUGGUUUUUAAAUUCUAGUAAAUCCAAAACUUGUCUGAAAUUCAUGAAACUUGGCAUCCUAUCAUGGAGCGGCAUCAACAUGCCGUGGUACAAAUUUUGUCCCAUUUGGGGCAGGUUUGGGUAUAUGUUCUCACAAACCGGAGCUUCUCACAACAAGCAUGACAGUUUUCGGUAGGGAACGUCCCACCUUUGGGGACGAAACGAUAUCCAUUGCCUCUUAUUGCUUUAAUAAAUUUUUCUCGUGUCUACGUAGAACAACAGGAGUGUUGUGUGAAUUUUUGUGAUUUUUCGGGGUUCGUUUGGACAUUUUUAUGCAUUAACUGAGUUUUCAAUGCAUUUAUGUGCAUAAUUCAAGUUUGAACUACAUGCACAUGCUCCAGUGCAUAUAAAUUGGUUGAAAAAUCAAAUCUGUGUCCUUGGGUGCAUGCUUAGGUCCCAUGCAAGAAAUGGGAAUGAAUUUCAAACACCAGGGCAUCGUUGAUUGCCGACAAAACAUUGAGAUGCCUGGUUUUUAAAUUCNNNNNNNNNNNNNNNNNNNNNNNNNNNNNNNNNNNNNNNNNNNNNNNNNNNNNNNNNNNNNNNNNNNNNNNNNNNNNNNNNNNNNNNNNNNNNNNNNNNNCAUCCUUCUCCAAGCUAGGCCCUUCAUUUGUAAGCAAAACAAAUGUAUCCAAUUUAGGCAGCAUCAUAUUCUCAUGAACAUUAGAAUCAUUACCAAGAAACGAAAGUACCUGAUAAUUUAAUUGGCGUGCGCGAGCUCUAGUAAUUGGUCCCGUAUAUGUAGCAGUAGGGGCUGUGGGUGUAACAAUGGUAUUGAUGUCCUCAUCAUCCUCCCCUUCUUGAAAUGAAGUCGUCCUCGACGGAAACUCAUCUUCCUCACCCAAAUAAGGCUUCAAAUCUGCAAUGUUAAAAGUGGGACUAACCCCAAAAUCUGCAGGCAGCUCAAGUUUAUAUGCAUUAUCAUUUAUUUUCUCUAACACCUUAAAGGGACCAUCAGCACGUGGCAUUAGCUUUGAUUUGCGCAAAUCAGGAAAUCUAUCCUUACGCAAGUGUAACCAAACAAGAUCUCCAGGUGCAAACACAACAUGUUUUCUACCCUUAUCUCCAGCAAGUUUAUAUUUCGCAUUCAUACGCUCAAUGUUUUCCUUAGUUAACUCAUGCAUUUUUAAAAUCAAUUCAGCACGUUGUUUAGCAUCAAAAUUAACCUUCGCCGAAGAUGGAAGAGGCAACAAAUCAAUAGGUGCACGAGGUAGGAAACCAUACACAACUUCAAAAGGGCACAUCUUAGUAGUAGAAUGCAAUGAACGAUUAUAAGCAAAUUCAAUAUGAGGCAAGCAUUCCUCCCACAUUUUCUUAUUAUUCUUCAAAACAGCCCUAAGCAUAGUAGACAACGUUCUAUUGACUACUUCAGUUUGUCCAUCAGUUUGGGGGUGACAAGUAGUACUAAAAAGCAUUUUAGUCCCCAACUUAGCCCAUAAACAUCUCCAAAAGUGGCUAAGAAAUUUAGUAUCACGAUCUGAAACAAUAGUAUUUGGCACACCAUGCAAGCGAAUAAUUUCACGAAAAAACAAAUCAGCAACAUUAACAGCAUCAUCGCUUUUAUGACAUGGUAUAAAGUGUGCCAUUUUCGAGAAUCUAUCCACGACAACAAAUAUGCUAUCCCUCCCCUUCUUUGUUCGAGGUAAACCUAAAACAAAGUCCAUAGAUAUAUCCUCCCAAGGAACACUAGGUACAGGCAAAGGCAUAUAUAAACCAUGAGGAUUGAGUCGUGACUUAGCUUUUUGACAUGUAGUGCAUCGAGCAAUAAAACGCUCAACAUCAUGUCUCAUCUUUGGCCAAAAGAAAUGUGUAGCAAGUACGUCCUCCGUCUUCUUCACGCCAAAGUGUCCCAUUAAUCCUCCUCCAUGCGCCUCCUGCAACAACAAAAGACGAACGGAGCUAGCUGGAAUGCAUAGCUUGUUAGCACAAAACACAAAUCCAUCAUUAACGACGAACUUGUUCCACAUUCUUCCUUCUUUACAAUUCUGCAUUACAUCUUUAAAAUCAGCAUCAUGCACAUAUUGAUCUUUGAUGGUCUCCAAACCAAAUAUUUUGAAGUCAAGUUGUGAAAGCAUAGUAUAGCGGCGAGACAAUGCAUCAGCAAUAACAUUUUCUUUUCCCUUCUUGUGUUUAAUGACAUAAGGAAAAGUCUCAAUGAAUUCAACCCAUUUAGCAUGUCUACGAUUCAGUUUAGCUUGACUUUUAAUAUAUUUCAAAGAUUCAUGAUCAGAAUGUAUAACAAAUUCUUUGGGCCAUAAAUAAUGUUGCCAUGUUUCUAAAGUCCGAACAAGAGCAUAUAAUUCUUUAUCAUAAGUAGAAUAAUUCAGACUAGGCCCACUCAAUAUUUCUGAAAAGUAUGCAACAGGUUUGCCAUCUUGUAAUAACACACCGCCUAAUCCAAUUCCACUAGCAUCACAUUCAAGCUCAAAAGUCUUAUUAAAAUCAGGAAGUUGGACUAAAGGAGCAUGUGUCAACUUAUCUUUCAAUACCGAGAAGGCUUCUUCCUGUGCGGUACCCCAAAGAAAAGGCACAUCUUUCUUUGUAAGCUCAUUGAGAGGUGCAGCAAUGGUGCUGAAAUCUCUCACAAAACGCCUAUAGAAUCCAGCGAGGCCAAGAAAACUCCUCACUUGUGUGACCGUUUUGGGUUGCGGCCAACUCUCAAUAGCUUCAAUCUUGGCUUUAUCAACUUCAAUUCCCUGUGGAGUAACUGAUAGAGGCAAAGGUGUCCCGUCUUUCGAUGAGAUGAUGGAUAUCGCUUUGGUGGCAGUCGACUUUGACGAUCCGACUACGAACGUGCGUGGACGUCGCGCCUUAGCAAUCGCUAAACCAACUCCGAGAGGUUAUUGACCACGCCGGAGCACGAUCAACCUGACCACGAGGGUCUGUUUCCUGCGAGCAAACGAAGAACAAGCAAGAAACUGAGAUUGCAAUCUGGAUAUUGCGAAUAUAAGAUGAAAGCUUUAUUGAUCAAGGUGGGGUUCUGUGACGUCUUUGUCUGGUCGUUGAACACAAACGAAGUACGCGAAGUUGCAGCUAUGGCGAACUUUUAAUCUAAACAAAACCCAAAGUCUAAACGAUGCCCUAAGGGAUGUAUAUAUGGAGGAAGAGGGGGGGAAUUUCGUAGCCCUUGGUGGAGGGGUCCGAAAUCAACCCUAUCUCUUGUUUCCCCACACAUACGGACUCUAAAAAUAGCCUAUACUUAUGUAUUUCGAAAUUACAUGGGCCUGGCCCAAUAAUAAGGUGACGCAACACCUAAAAUAGCCUCGGGACGAAAUUUAUGAAGUGGCAUCUUGUAUAUUUCGUCCAAGGCUUCAUGCACCCAUUAUGGUGGCUUCAAAGUCCUGAAAUCAUCACUUGUAACUCCGUUCUUGUUUCCCUUGCGCAUGCCAUCAUCUCCAUGCUUGUUCUUGCUCCAAUGUUCAUCCUUCUCCAAGCUAGGCCCUUCAUUUGUAAGCAAAACAAAUGUAUCCAAUUUAGGCAGCAUCAUAUUCUCAUGAACAUUAGAAUCAUUACCAAGAAACGAAAGUACCUGGUAAUUUAGUUGGCGUGCACGAGCUCUAGUAAUUGGUCCAGUAUGUAUAGNNNNNNNNNNNNNNNNNNNNNNNNNNNNNNNNNNNNNNNNNNNNNNNNNNNNNNNNNNNNNNNNNNNNNNNNNNNNNNNNNNNNNNNNNNNNNNNNNNNNGACUACGUUAGUUUUUUCUGGGUUCUCACUUUUCCAUUCAUUUAAUUUCUUUUCUUUAAAAAAAUGUCUAAUUUUUUCAAUACAAGUUGUACAUUUUUCAUAUGCACAUGUGAUAAUUUAUCGACACAGAUUGACAGAUUUUCAAGUAUAUGAUGAAUAUAUUUUAAAAUAUAUGUUUGAAUAAUUGUCAAACAUUUUCAAAUACACGUUGUUUUUCUUUUUUUGCGUUACGUAAUUUUUCUGAUAUUAUACUAACAUUUCUAAAGAUAUCACAAACAAUUUUCUUGAAAUGUCACGAAUACAUUUUUUGAAACAUGUGAACAUUUUUUUAAAUGCCACGGACAAGUUUUUCUGAAUGGCAUAAUUUUUUCGAAAUUAUCUGUACAUUUUUUACAUUGUAUGGCCUAUAAAAAAUUGCCACAUGAAAAUAGCAGGCAGAUAUUUUCAAAAUCCCUUUCGUAGUAAAAAGGGUUCACAAUAUUUCUUAUAGAGCAGAAACAAUAAAAGCAAGCAGGGAAUCUUGGGACUGAUUUGUGAAGUUUCAGAACAGCUAUUUUUGAAAAGUAUCACAAAUAUAUAUGUUUGAAAUAACCGAACAUUUUUAAAAUGUCACGAACAUUAUUUUUAAUGUUAUGAACAUUUUCUUAAAUUUGCACCAAUAUUUUGUUAACACUGCAUCAUCUUAUUUUAUAUGUGUGACGAACACUCUUAAAUUUUGAAGUAAAUUAGAAUAUUUCAAAAACGUAAUCAAAAUAAGAAAACGAAAAAUGAAACCAAGAAACGAACGAAUCCGAGCUGGCGCCUACAGCCGCUGAAUCAUGGGCCGGCCCAUGUGGCGACAGACGCCCAGUCUCUCGCUAAACUCGCCCCGCCUGGUCCCUCCUCGAUCGAGAGCCCAGUUGACUUUAGAAAAAAAGAUGAAAACUUAAAACGAAAGAAUCACAAAAAAAGAGAAAAAAAUCGAGAUUUGAAAAAAGUUCACAGAUUUGGAAACCUUCAUCCAUUUUUGAAAUAAGUUCAUGAAAUUGGGAAAGAGUUCAUCAAUUUUGAAAUAAGUUCACCGAAUUUAAAAAAAGUUCAUCCAUUUUGAAAAAGAGUUCAUCGAUUUUGAAAAAGAGUUCAUCGAUUGUGAACAGAGUUCAUCGGUUUUGAAAAAGAAUUCAUCAAUUUAGAAAAAAAGUUCAUCGAUUUAGAAAAAGUUCAUCGAUCUUGAAAAAGAGUUCAUCGAUUGUGAAAGAAAGUUCACCGAUUUUGAAAAAUAGUUCUUUCAAAUUAGCAAAAGAAAUAUAAAACCAUUCCGAAAAGAAGAAAAAAGAAAAAGAACAAAAAACAUAAAAAAACCAUUUCGAAUAAAAAGGAAAAAGAAAUGGGAAAAAAGAAUGGUUGUAAAGAAAAGGUGAAGAAGCAGUAAUUUGGGCAACUAGUGCGUGUUAGUGCGGUGGUUAGUGCUGAGGCGAAUGACCGUGAGGUCGCGCGAUCGAUUCCCAUCCAAAGCGCGCCUUUUCUGUCCUCACGACAGGAAGGAAAGGAAAAAGAUGGGCCAGGCCCAGUUAAUGCGGCUGCAGGCGCCGGUUUGCGAAAACAACUAUAACCGGCACAUGCAGCGUUAAAUAGGAAAUGCCGAAGCGCACUUAAUCAUGGUGGUAGCUAGUUUAAUUUAAUGAUGUGGCCUGCCUGUAGCGUCAUUUUUUCUUCCUAAGUAAGGUACUUUAAUAAAUCUCCAUGCUUAUGAACAACACACAGUUAAGUUUUGGACAGAUACAACAGAAAAUGCUCAAAGUUCAUUAAUGUUGUAAAGCCAUUCUCCUAGGUAGUACUAGUAGAAAGAAAGUAAGCUUUUCGCCUAGGGUUGCAGCAAAUACUACUGUAUUAUUCUCUAGUUGUAGGGAAAAAUGAUUGAUUUCCCUACUUUCUUUCUUGAACAACAAAUUGCUACUAGUACUAACUAAUUUGCAUAUAUGCUCUGGUUUUCUUGUUAUUAAUUAGCUAGGUGCCUCCAAAUAAGUUGUUGGUUCAAAUUCUGCACGUUUCUUUGCAUUCUAUUUCUUAGUUCAUUAUUCAGGCUCUGCUUGCUACUUAUGGUGGUAGCUAGUUUAAUUUAAUGAUGUGGCCCGCCUGUAGUGCCAUUAUUCCCGAUGUUGUGUUAUAUUCUUUUAUGAGGUGAUUUUAAGAACAACAAAUAAUGGUGACAAAUGCAAAAAGUGAAAUAUGACCCAAAAAAGCCCGCCUACUAGCUGCAUACUACAUAAUUCAACGGCCAGCAUACUACUGACAGACCAAUCAUUUAUUGGGCCAGGAUGCAGGCCCGCCAGAUUGUGAUAGUAGGCAGCUAGUAGGCCCCACUAGGCAGGGACAGACGGGGUUAGGCAUGUGCUGCCCGCUUUAGAAAGGAACUCGAAAGGGGAAGCUGAUCAGCCUGGUAUAUAAACCGGUGCGAACUCCCCUCGCUUGGCGAGGUGGGACUAAACUCCCAGCACCGCUGGGAUGUGCCCGGCGCGACGCUCGCUUGGGCCUAAUUCGGGUGGGCCGUCGCAGGCCAGCGUCACCCGCAUGCAGAUUAUUACCACAUUUAAAACCGAGUUGCUUCAAUGUGUUAUAUUUCACUUAUUCAAUGUGUACGAAAAAUUAAUGUCUUAUAUUUCACUUAUUCACUUAAAUAUUUAUUUAUUUUUAUCUAUACAAUAAUUUAAAAUCUAAUAUAUUUUUACUCCUUCAGUUAUUCUCGCACUAUUAAAAUUCAAAAAAUGCAAUAUAAUAUGUUUCAUCUUUAUUAUAAUAUAUCUUUUCUGUUUUCUAUUUCAAAAAAGGUAUAUCAAAUAUACUUUUUCUUUGUCAUUUCUUCUUAGAGUUUUAAAAUUGAAUUAUAUGUUUUGUAUUUUAUUUCUUAUUAUGGUUGUAAAAAUGAAAAUUCCAUGAAUGUAUGUUGUGUUCUAUUUCACUUCUUAAAUAUAAUUUUCAUUCUAUUUUCAAAAUUCCAUUUGGUUGAGUCCAGAAAAACNNNNNNNNNNNNNNNNNNNNNNNNNNNNNNNNNNNNNNNNNNNNNNNNNNNNNNNNNNNNNNNNNNNNNNNNNNNNNNNNNNNNNNNNNNNNNNNNNNNNGUAGUAGUUGUAUUUGUGAGCAUACGACCGAUGAUAAAAGCACCUGCCUGCUUGGAUUGUCAAGUUGAACAAUUAUAAACGUGAAGAAUAAUAACUAAAUAAAAGAAGUGUUAGUUUGCUAGACAAUGAGUUACUUAAUUGUCUGAGUUUAAUAUUAGGAAAACAUACCAGUACAAGCGGGAAAAAGAAAUACCUUUAGACCAAACAUUUUAACAAAAAGCUCGCUAAUCAUACACGUGAAGAUAACUUCAAGUGAGCUCUUUUUUCUAUCCAGGGUCUUCUUUGCCAUCCGAACAUAUGCAAGUGGAUCAUCGUGUACCGCUAAAUGAAAUGGUAGGAGGAUGUAGCCUAUUUGAUUUCCCCAUGCCACGUCAUUACUUUUACCCGAUUCUAUCAUAUUAACAUAGGCCUGCACAUAGUUGUAAGAAAACAUUAGAUUAAAGUUAUGAUACACUACAGGUUUUAAUAAUAUAUUCUCAAGCUUGCAUUUGGAAACAAAUUAUGCAUCAGCAAAUGAGUAAUGAAACUAGCUACUCCAAGAGUGACCAGUAAUAUACAAAUUUUCUUUUUGCCUGAUCAUGUGAACAUAUGUAAAAUCAUUAGUUUGUCAUAUUUUCAUAGAUCCCAUGAUUUAUAUUCUUUUACUAAUCGUGUGGAUUUUAUGACCAAAUUUGGAAACGUCAUCUAAUUACAUAAGGAAGAGGAGUGAUAUUUUGGUGACAGAGAUAUAUAAAUGAAAAAAAAUCAAUAACUAAUGACAUGCAUUUGAAAUUUCAUGCAUAUUUCCAUAAAGAAACUUACUUGUAGGCUAGCUGUUGGCCUUGUAUUUACAGGGAGGACACAUCGCAAACAUAGCUUGCGUGUCUUAGGGUAACCUAACAUAAUUUGCAGAUAAGUUGCAGAAACAUGUACAGUAAAAAACAACAGAUUGUCACAAUGUACAUCUCUUACCAGACUUACGAAAGUAAUAUUGUGAUAGAGCAGCAGAAGUGACUCCGACUAGCACAUCAUUAACAGUCUGUGGAAAGAAAAUAAAAAUACAGAAAAUGACGCUUCAACAACUAGUUUAAUCUGGCUCGAAAGAGAUGAGCUUGCUGAUAGCUAUAGGUCAUAUUAUCAUAUACUCCCUCCAUUCCAUAAUAUAUAAAAUUUUCAAACACAGUGUCAAAAAACGUCACAGAGGUGGUAUAUACUUACGCAGUUCAUGGCAUUCUUGAUGAACUUGACGUCGUCCAAGCUAAAGCUCCGGUGCACGAAGCGCCUGCGGGGGUUCAACGUAACUUGACUGUCCCCGCGUCUGAAGAGUGUGUUCGGGUCUCUCAGAAACACAAUCGUCGCAGCAAAGAAGAUGACGUCCACCACGGUGUUCCAUGCAAGCGCAAGAUACGGCCAAACCCAUGCGACGAACGCCGCCAGGGCGCCCGAGGGCAGCGGCUGCCGGUGCCGCGGCUCGUAGAUGGCGCCCGUGCGCGCCGGCUGCUCCGGCAUGGCCGGCAGGCGUGUCGGGUCCGCGGCGCUGCGGGCAGACGCCAGGAGGAGCGUGAUCAGCGACAUCCCGUCACCGAGGGAGUGGUGGACGCGGAACACCACGGUGGAGGUGGCCUCUGAGGUCGGGAAGUCGAGGAAGUGGAACUCCCAGAGCGGGCGGGAGCAAUCCAUGGGGAGUGCCUGCAGCGAGGCCACGUAGUCCUCCACGGCCCGGUCCGGGUCAGCCUCCACGGCGGCGGGGUCCAGCGUCGGGACGAUCAUGUGGUCGUCGACGUUCACCUCCGUGCACGCCCACCGCGGGCUCUUGCACCCGUCUGUCACCUGACGUGCAUGCUCACGGAUUAAAUUGAAACUAGUGACAGAAUAUCUAGGCAGUACUUAAAUUGAACUGUGUCCCGUACUUGAAUGCUACGGAAGCGUGGGUAACGAGCAAGUUGGGCUGCGAUGCCGGCGCUGAAGAUGGCUAGGUUGACGGGCGAGCCAAGGCCGACCAUAACCACGAUGUAUAUAGCUUCGAAGAGUCUUGCACUAGGGGUCACUGGCUCCUCCUCCGCUGCCGCCACCGCGGAAUCGUCGUCCGUCUUCCAUUCGGCCGGCGCUGACCUUGGCGUGCGUAUCGGGGGUAGCAGGCCGCUUGUUGGUAGAGCGGCUACCGAGGGGCUACCAGUACUACCCAUGGCUACUUUAGUUUCAAGGGUCGUUGGCUACUCGAUCGAUCGACACUCCAUGCUAGGUGUAAUAUAUAGGAUGACAAAAAGUUUUUUGCUAAUAAAAGCGGCAAGGAUGACAAUCAAUGGCACUACUAUACACACAGUUGAAGAUCAUCAUCAUAAGGGAUCUGGUAUAGUCCCUACCGGCUUGCUGCUGAUGUGGUCCCACAUUGCACACUGUUGUUCAAGAAUAAACAUGUGCGAUGUGUUUCACAUCACAAGAAGAUGAGCACACUGAAGCGUGCAUUGAGUACCUCACUGAAGAUGCUCUGCCUAGUUGAACCCAUACAACUACAAUUUUGUGGUGUGCAAUAUCGAGAAGGCUUGAGCCCCGCUUUAUAGAUAAAACAGCAACCGAGCAUUACAACCUGACACUGCACCACACAACAAGGAAAACGGAAAGAUACAACGGUGCCGAGGAUAGCAACAAAGCCCAAGAAAACAACAAGCACACAACGAAAGAAAGAAUCGAGCACUGCUUGGAGUCCCUGGAGCCCUCGUCCAUGCUCAGGUAACCAGAGUAGAGAACAUAAUCAACUUGAAGGGGAGACUAGCCAGCAGAGGAGGACAUGCCGUUGCCAACACUUGGAAGACAAGCACCACCACGCCAAUAAGCUCCAUCGCCAAAAGAAGGCCCCUGCCCGCUCACCCUGGAUCAAAGGGCGCCGCACCGUCGAACGAUGAAGGCAUGCACCCAAGUGCCUGGCCAGGAACGGAUGACGAGGUCCCAAGGUGAGGCCUUCGGACACAAUUCUUCACUUGAAAGCAUCACCAUCACAACCACAGAACCAUCAACGCUANNNNNNNNNNNNNNNNNNNNNNNNNNNNNNNNNNNNNNNNNNNNNNNNNNNNNNNNNNNNNNNNNNNNNNNNNNNNNNNNNNNNNNNNNNNNNNNNNNNNACAAAAGGAGAGAUUUUUAUCUUUUUUUCCAGAAAUACAAUGUCUUUCUUCAUAUUUGUAUUUCCAGGGAAAAAAUUAUAUAUGCCUAUUUUCUUUGGAUUUGGAAGCUUUCUCACCAGGAAACAGUGAUAAUUAUCUUCCCCCAUCAAUACCAGGGUUUCUAAAGACCAAUGUCUUAUAAAAGCUACAACUCCUAUAUCUCUAUCUCCUUUACAUACAUACACAGUACAUCCAUAUAAUGUAUCAGCAAACAAAAAGCACAAAAGAGGAUGAUUUUCUUUUGCUUCCCAAUUCAAGCAAAUAUAAGAAUGAUCUGUUCAAAAAUUCAUUCAUGCAUAGUAUUCGGACUCAUAAAUUAUCUCAUUCGUGUACAAAAUUUUGGCUCGAUGGCCAUGGACACACAUAGCAUUAGAGAGAGCAGAGGAGGAACCAGUGGCUUACAUAUGCCGGAGGCGUCGGGGUGGGUGACAGAUAAGGAGAGAUCCAAUACAUUAAUAAAUCCAGUCGGGGUUGUAGAUAUGGCAGUAGAAACCAUUAAGGAUGGGCUGCUUCACAUCUCUAGGGAUGCUGAUGUCAUCCUCUGCAAUUAGACUAGUCGCAGUAAACAAGCAGUGGUACUAACAAGGAAAGCAAUGACAAACUUGACCGCAACAAUAAAAGGGCGAAAAAUCAAUCAAAAUUGUCCCUAUUCUACCAAGUGAGGAAAAACGAAUUCAAACAAACACGGAGAGCAGCGUGAGAGAGAACAUGUUGUUCAAGUUUAACCCACUCAUCCAACUUCCUAUUGACUGCAGUUUCUAAAUAAGGUGUUUGAUACUCAUUCGGUGAUUGCUUUGCCAUUUCAUAACACUGAAUAUAAUAGAACAAAAACAAAUUAAACCAUGAGUCCAUCAUGAACCCAGAUAAGCCAGGCCAAGACCAAGCAUAAAUCUGUUCUGAUCUUUAGGAUGACUGGGGAUAGAUAGAUAGUAACCUUACAAAGGGUAGACAAAUGAAUCAGCCAUAUGAAAGUCACAAAGGAGAGAUUUUUAUUGUAUUUCCAGAAAAAGUUCAAUAGCUCCUCCUAUUUUCUUCGUAUAUAGACACUUUCUAACGAGGAAACAGUGAUCAUUAUCUUUCCCCCAUUAAUACCAGGAUUUCUAAAAGCCAAUGUCUUCCUAACAGCUACAACUCCUAUCUUUCUCUAUCUCCUUUACAUACAUACACAAUACACCCAUACGAUGGAUCGGCAAACAAAAAGCACAAAGGAGAUGAUUUUAUUUGGAUUCCUAAUUCAAGCAAAUAUAAGGAAGAUCUGUUCAGAAAACCAUUUAUGCAUGCUGUUUGGAACUCAAAAAUUAUCUCAAAUGUACAAAAAUUGGCUCGAUGGUUGUGGGCACACAAAGCAUGGGAGAGAACAGAGGAGGAAUCAGUGGCUUACCUAUGCCGGAGGCGUUAGAGUGAGCACCAGAUAAGGUGAUAUCCCAUACAUUGAUAAAUCCAGUCAGGGUUGUAGAUAUGGCAGUAGAAACCAUUAAGGAUGGGCAGCUUCACAUCUGUAGGGAUGCUGAUGUCGCCCUCUGCAAUUAGACUAGUCACAGUAAACAAGCGGUGGUACUAACAAGAAAAGCAGUGAUGAACUUGACCGCACCAAAAAAUAGGCGAAUAGCUCAAUCAAAAGUUGUCAUGAUCCUACCAAAUGAGGCAAAAAAAAUCAAACAAACGUGGAGAGCAGCAUGAGAGAGAACAGAUUGUUCAAAUUUAACCCACUCAUCCAACCUCCUAUUGAGUGCGAAUGCAGAACAAUUUAAUACGGAUCAAUAAGCACGAAUAAGUCGAUGAACUAAAACAAGCUGUACAGGCACCAUUCUACAAGCCCUCCAAAGAAUAGGCCAGAAAAAUGGUUUCAUGGAUCUGCCUAUUUUUUCGUAUUUGGACGGUUUGUAAAAAGGACACAUUGAAAAAAAAACUCGCAUUUGUAUUUCAUCAUUUGCAGUUUAGAUUGCUUCAAAAAUCAUAUGCAAUUAGAGGACAAUCACUGAUAUUUAGAUAUGUGUAACAAAUUUAAAAAAAAUCAUCAGCAUGAAAAGAAAGACAAUGCAACUGAAAAUCCCAUCUACAGGUAGUGUAUGCCCUACAAAAUGACAAGUGCAAACAUAUACGGUGUAGUUGUUCCUUUAAAACACGACUAUGUUGUUCUCCUGAUUGCCAGCAUUACAUAUAAGGCUAUCAUAUAGAUAAACUCCAUACCAGAAAUAUAAGAAAAUAUUGUCACUUUACAGGUGUGAGCAGACUAAUUAGUACUCCCUCCGUCCCAUAAUAUAAGAUGUUUUUUGACACUAGUGUAGUGUCAAAAAACGUCUUACAUUAUGGGACGGAGGGAGUAAUUACUACAUUACAUAUCUUUUUUUCCCUCUAUGUGUCAAAGCCUAUAUUUUAUCUGUUGCUCAAUUUAAUUCAUUCUCAACAUUUGGGAACUCAAAACAGUUAGCCAAAGUAGAUACAUCAUAGUUUGUGUUUCCACAGGAAAAUGAUAUUGACCUUAGUUUAACAAAGAAAAUAAAAACAUAAAAAAUCAAAGCAUUCCAAGCAGUAUUAUCAUGAAUGAUUCUUUAAAGUAGUAGGGGAACAAUAUGAAAUCCACUCACAUCAAAACAUAAGUCCAAGGAAGGCGUGACUGGAUGAAUUACCCUGAACGGUGUCAGGCAUGCCAACGUCCAUCUUGACGUCCUCCAGGAGUUACAGAUAGACAGGUAGCAUGCCAAGGUCACCAGUAGCAUGGAGGGUGUUCCUGACCAUGUAGGUGGUGUUGGCCACUGUUAACCAAAAAGGGGACACUUUUAGUUACCAAUCAUGAAAAGAAUGUUGAAGUAUCAGAGGAACAGAAAUAUAAUAAGUUACUCGUGACUUUAAUCUUCAAAAGAAAGAUUAAUAGCUUUGCCUAUCUUCUUCAUAUUUGGAAGCUUUCUAACUAGGGAACGGUGAUUAUUAUCUCUCCCCAAUAUGAGGAUACUAAAAGNNNNNNNNNNNNNNNNNNNNNNNNNNNNNNNNNNNNNNNNNNNNNNNNNNNNNNNNNNNNNNNNNNNNNNNNNNNNNNNNNNNNNNNNNNNNNNNNNNNNAGUUCUACGCCAAGUUCUCCAAGUGUGAAUUUUGGCUCGAUGAGGUUCUUUAUCUUGGUCAUAUCAUCUCUGCCAAGGGCAUUGCCGUGAAUCCUGAGAAGGUGUCUACAAUUGUGAAUUGGGAACCUCCUCAGAACGUGAAGCAACUCCGUAGCUUCCUCGGUCUCGCAAGCUAUUGCCGAAGAUUCGUUGAAAACUUCUCUAAGAUCGCGAAGCCUCUCUCAAAUCUUCUCCAGAAGCACGUCAAGUACAUUUGGUCUCCGGAGUGUGAUAUUGCUUUCAACACUUUGAAAGAGAAAUUGAUCACUGCUCCAGUUCUGACUCCGCCUGAUGAAUCCAAGCCAUACGAGGUCUUUUGUGAUGCCUCUCUCCAAGGUCUUGGCGCAGUAUUGAUGCAAGAGAAGAAAGUUGUUGCUUAUACCUAUCGCUAGUUGAAGCCUAAUGAGAAGAACUACCCCACUCAUGAUCUCGAGUUGGCGGCAGUUGUGCUUGCUCUUUUGACUUGGAGACAUCUUCUAUUGGGAAGAAAAGUGGACAUUUUCACUGAUCACAAGAGUCUCAAGUACAUCUUCACUCAGCCUAAUCUCAACCUCAGGCAAACUCGAUGGGUCGAAAUGAUUCAAGAGUAUAAUCCGAGUAUCGAGUAUACUCCAGGCAAGGCCAAUGUGAUUGCUGACGCAUUGAGCAGAAAGCUUACUGCAACAGUCUGAUUCUUAAGCCUUAUCAACCCAAGCUUUGUGAAGCUUUCCGCAAACUUAACCUGCAAGUUGUUCCUCAAGGUUUCCUUGCCAACCUUCAAGUCUCUCCUACAUUGGAAGACCGGAUUCGCCAAGCCCAGCUUCUUGAUGCUAUGGUGAAAAAGGUGAAGAUUGGGAUUGCCAAGAGUCAACCCAAGUACAAGUGCUACCGCCUUGAUGACAAGGAUACUCUCUUCUUUGAGGAUCGUAUUGUUGUACCCAAAGGUGACCUUCAUAAAGUGAUCAUGAACGAGGCUCACAAUUCUCUCCUCUCCAUCCACCCUGGGAGCACGAAGAUGUAUCAGGACCUCAAGCAAGCUUAUUGGUGGACUCGAAUGAAGCGCGAGAUCGCUCAAUUCGUGAAUGAAUGUGAUGUCUGCAGAAGAGUGAAGGCAGAACACCAAAGGCCAGCUGGUCUCCUCCAACCUCUUGCCAUUCCAGAAUGGAAGUUUGACCACACUGAAAUGUACUUCGUGACUGGGUUUCCAAAGUCCAAGCGUGGCAAUGAUGCUAUAUUCAUUGUCAUCGACAAACUCACCAAAGUGGCUCAUUUUCUGCCUAUCAAAGAGUCGAUCACUGCAGCUCAAUUGGCGGAACUCUAUACCUCUUGUAUUGUCUCUUUGCACGGUAUUCCACAAGUGAUCUCUUCAGACCGUGGCAACAUAUUUACCUCAAAGUUUUGGGAUUCUUUUCAGAAGGCCAUGGGCACCAACAUCCACUUCAGCACUGCUUUCCGUCCUCAAACUAGCGGUCAAGUCGAGCGUGUCAACCAGAUUCUUGAAGAUAUGCUCAGGGCUUGUGUGAUCUCCUUCGGCAUGAAAUGGGAGGAUUGUCUUCCUUAUGCUGAAUUCUCCUACAACAAUAGUUUUCAAGCAAGUUCGGGCAAGGCCCCAUUUGAAAUUCUGUAUGGCAGGAAGUGCCGUACCCCUCUCAACUGGUCUUAAACCGGUGAACGUCAGCUUUUGGGUAAUGACUUAAUCACAGAGGCAGAAGAAAUGUGCAAAGUCAUUCAUGAUAAUCUCAAAGCAGCCCAAUCCCGCCAGAAGAGCUACUAUGAUAGUAAGCACCGUGAUUUGGCUUUCGAGAUCGGAGAUCAUAUUUACCUCCGCGUCUCUCCUAUGAAAGGUACUCGUCGCUUCGGUAUCAAAGGGAAGCUUGCCCCUAGAUAUGUGGGACCUUUCAAGAUUGUCAGCAAGAGAGGCGACCUCGCCUAUCAACUCGAGCUUCCUUCAAACUUUGCAAAUGUUCAUGACGUGUUCCAUGUCUCUCAGCUUCGAAAGUGCUUCAAGACUCCUGACCGCACCGUCAACUUUGAGGACAUUGAGCUCCAAGAAGAUCUCUCUUAUCGUGAGCAUCCAGUUGCUAUUCUUGAAGAGACUGAACGCAAGACUCGCAACAAGUCAAUCAAAUUUGUCAAAGUCAAGUGGUCACACCAUUCCGACCUGGAAGCUACCUGGGAACGCGAGGAUCACCUCCGUUCUGAGUACCCGGUGUUCUUUCAGUCCUAGAUCUCGGGACGAGAUCCUUUCGUAGUGGUGGAGUGUUGUAACACCCCGGAUGUAACUUUCCCAAUUUGUACUUCCAACUCUUGCCGUUUUCGGCGUUAAGUUAAUUUAUUUUCUCGGGUUCGGGUUUUUGUCUCCGUGUGUUGUUGUCGUUGUCAUGCAUCUCAUAUCAUGUCAUCAUGUGCAUUGCAUUUGCAUACAUGUUCGUCUCAUGCAUUCGAGCAUUUUCCCCGUUCUCCGUUUUGCAUUCCGGCGCUUUGUUCUCCUCCGGUGGUCAUUUAUAGCUUUCUUUUGUGUGUGGGGAUUAAACGUUUCUCUAUUGGACCGAGACUUGCCAAGCGGCCUUGGUUUACUACCGGUAGACCGCCUGUCAAGUUUCGUAUCAUUUGGACUUCGUUUGAUACUCCAACGGUUAACAGAGGGACCGAAAAGGACUCGUGUGUGUUGUAGCCCAACACCCCUCCAAUUUGGCCCAAAACCCACCUAAACCUGCUCCAUCAUCUAGAUCGUUCGAUCACGAUCGCGUGGCCGAAAACCGCACCUCAUUUGGACUCUCCUAGCUCCUCCUAUGCCUAUUUAAACACCCCACUCCAAAUUCGCGGAUCUCCUCUCCCCGAAACCCUAAAUUUCCACCCCGCCACCAACGGACAUUGUCCGCCCUGCGCCGGACAUCCGCCGCCGCCAACCGGGAGCCGCCACAUGGCGCCCCCGGACCACAUCGCCGCCGCACCCCGCGCGGGCCCGCUCGGCCCGUGGNNNNNNNNNNNNNNNNNNNNNNNNNNNNNNNNNNNNNNNNNNNNNNNNNNNNNNNNNNNNNNNNNNNNNNNNNNNNNNNNNNNNNNNNNNNNNNNNNNNNGGGGGCACCUCUAGGAACAACAAUUGAUCUCUUAAUCUCUUAGCCGUGUGUGGUGCCCCCCUCCACCAUAGUCCUCGAUAAUAUUGUAGCGGUGCUUAGGAGAAGCCCUGCAACGAUAGAAUAUCAAGAUCAUCACCACGCCGUCGUGCUGACGGAACUCUUCCCCGACAUUCUGCUGGAUCGGAGUACGGGGAACGUCAUCGAGUUGAACGUGUGCUAGAACUCGGAGGUGCCGUAGUUUCGGUGCUUGAUCGGUCGGGCCGUGAAGACAUACGACUACAUCAACCGCGUUGUUCUAACGCUUCCGCUUUCGGUCUACGAGGGUACGUGGACUACACUCUCCCAUCUCGUUGCUAUGCAUCACCAUGAUCUUGCGUGUGCGUAGGAAUUUUUUUGAAAUUACUACGUUCCCCAACAGUGGCAUCCGAGCCUGGUUUUAUGCGUAGAUGUUAUAUGCACAAGUAGAACACAAGUGAGUUAUGGGCGAUACAAGUCAUACUGCUUACCAGCAUGUCAUACUUUGGUUCGGCGGUAUUGUUGGAUGAAGCGGCCCGGACCGACAUUACGCGUAUGCUUACGCGAGACUAGUUCUACCGACGUGCUUUGCACACAGGUGGCUGGCAGGUGUCAGUUUCUCCAACUUUAGUUGAACCGAGUGUGGCUACGCCCGGUCCUUGCGAAGGUUAAAACAACACUAACUUGACGAACUAUCGUUUUAGUUUUGAUGCGUAGGUAAGAGCGGUUCUUGCUCAGCCCGUAGCAGCCACGUAAAAUUUGCAACAACAAAGUAGAGGACGUCUAACUUGUUUUUGCAAGGCAUGUUGUGAUGUGAUAUGGUCAAGACGUGAUGCUAUAUUUUAUUGUAUGAGAUGAUCAUGUUUUGUAACCGAAGUUAUUACCAACUGGCAGGAGCCAUAUGGUUGUCGCUUUGUUGUAUGAAAUGCAAACGCCCUGUAAUUGCUUUACUUUAUCACUAAGCGGUAGCGAUAGUCGUAGAAGCAAUAGAUGGCGUAAACGACAACGAUGCUACGAUGGAGAUCAAGGUGUCGCACCGGUGACGAUGGUGAUCACGACGGUGCUUCGGAGAUGGAGAUCACAAGCACAAGAUGAUGAUGGCCAUAUCAUAUCACUUAUAUUGAUUGCAUGUGAUGUUUAUCCUUUAUGCAUCUUAUCUUGCUUUGAUUGACGGUAGCAUUUUAAGAUGAUCACUCACUAAUUAUCAAGAAGUGUUCUCCCUGAGUAUGCACCGUUGCGAAAGUUCUUCAUGCUGAGACACCACUUGAUGAUCGGGUGUGAUAGGCUCUACGUUCAAAUACAAUGGAUGCAAAAUAGAUGCACAAGCGGAAUACUCAGGUUAAACUUGACGAGCCUAGCAUAUACAGAUAUGGCCUUGGAACACGGAGACCGAAAGGUCGAACGUGAAUCAUAUAGUAGAUAUGAUCAACAUAGUGAUAUUCACCAUUGAAAACUACUCCAUCUCACGUGAUGAUCGGACAUGGUUUAGUUGAUUUGGAUCACGUGAUCACUUAGAUGACUAGAGAGAUGUCUGUCUAAGUGGCAGUUCUUUAGUAAUAUGAUUAAUUGAACUUAAAUUUAUCAUGAACUUAGUACCUGAUAGUAUUUUGCUUGUCUAUGUUUGUUGUAGAUAGAUGGCUCGUGCUGUUGUUCCGUUGAAUUUUAAUGUGUUCCUUGAGAAACCUAAGUUGAAAGAUGAUGGUAACAAUUACACGGACUGGGUCCGUAACUUGAGGAUUAUCCUCAUUGCUGCACAGAAGAAUUACGUCCUGGAAGCACCGCUGGGUGCCAGGCCUGCUGCAGAUGCAACAGACGACGUUAAGAACGUCUGGCAGAGCAAAGCUGAUGACUACUUGAUAGUUCAAUGUGCCAUGCUUUACGGCUUAGAACCGGGACUUCAACGACGUUUAGAACGUCAUGGAGCAUAUGAGAUGUUCCAGGAGUUGAAGUUAAUAUUUCAAGCAAAUGCCCGGAUUGAGAGAUAUGAAGUCUCCAAUAAGUUCUAUAGAUGUAAGAUGGAGGAAAUAGUUCUGUCAGUGAACAUAUACUCAAAAUGUCUGGGUAUAAUAAUCACUUGAUUCAACUAGGAGUUAAUCUUCCUGAUGAUAGUGUCAUUGACAGAAUUCUUCAAUCACUGCCACCAAGCUACAAGAGCUUCGUGAUGAACUAUAAUAUGCAAGGGAUGGACUAGACUAUUUCCGAGCUCUUCGCAAUGCUAAAGGCUGCAGAGGUAGAAAUCAAGAAGGAGCAUCAAAUGUUGAUGGUCAAUAAGACCACCAGUUUCAAGAAAAAGGGUAAAGGGAAGAAGAAGGGGAACUUCAAGAAGAACAGCAAGCAAGUUGCUGCUCAAGAGAAGAAACUCAAAUCUGGACCUAAGCCUAAGACUGAGUGCUUCUACUACAAGCAGACUGGACACUGGAAGCGGAACUGCCCCAAGUAUUUGGCGGAUAAGAAGGAUGGCAGGGUGAACAAAGGUAUAUGUGAUAUACAUGUUAUUGAUGUGUACCUUACUAAUGCUCGCAGUAGCACCUGGGUAUUUGAUACUAGUUCUGUUGCUAAUAUUUGCAACUUGAAACAGGGACUACGGAUUAAUCGAAGAUUGGCUAAGGACGAGCUGACGAUGCGCGUGGGAAAUGGUUCCAAAGUCGAUGUGAUCGCGAUGGGCACGCUACCUCUACAUCUACCAUCGGGAUUAGUUUUAGACCUGAAUAAUUGUUAUUUGGUGCCAGCGUUGAGCAUGAACAUUAUAUCUAGAUCUUGUUUGAUGCGAGACGGUUAUUCAUUUAAAUCAGAGAAUAAUGGUUGUUCUAUUUAUAUGAGUAAUAUCUUUUAUGGUCAUGCACCCUUGAAGAGUGGUCUAUUUUUAUUAAAUCUCGAUAGUAGUGAUACACAUAUUCAUAAUGUUGAAGCCAAAAGAUGCAGAGUUGAUAAUGAUAGUGCAACUUAUUUGUGGCACUGCCAUUUGGGUCAUAUUGGUGUAAAGNNNNNNNNNNNNNNNNNNNNNNNNNNNNNNNNNNNNNNNNNNNNNNNNNNNNNNNNNNNNNNNNNNNNNNNNNNNNNNNNNNNNNNNNNNNNNNNNNNNNCGAUGACAAAGGGAACAACGUAUGUUGUUAUGCGGUCUGACCGAUAAAGAUCUUCGUAGAAUAUGUAGGAGCCAAUAUGGGCAUCCAGGUCCCGCUAUUGGUUAUUGACCAGAGACAUGUCUCGGUCAUGUCUACAUUGUUCUCGAACCCGUAGGGUCCGCACGCUUAAGGUUACGAUGACAGUUAUAUUAUGAGUUUAUGCAUUUUGAUGUACCGAAGGUUGUUCGGAGUCCCGGAUGUGAUCACGGACAUGACGAGGAGUCUCGAAAUGGUCGAGACGUAAAGAUUGAUAUAUUGGAAGCCUAUAUUUGGAUAUCGGAAGUGUUCCGGGUGAAAUCGGGAUUUUACCGGAAUACCGGGAGGGUUACCGAAACCCCCCGGGAGCUAUUUGGGCCAUAGUGGGCCUUAGUGGAAAAGAGAAGGGGCUGCCCUAGAUGGGCUGCGCGCCCCCCCUUCCCCUAGUCCUAUUAGGACUAGGAGAGGUGGCCGGCCCCCUCCUCCUCUUUUCCCCUCCGAGGAAUCCUAGUUGGACUAGGAUUGGAGGGGGAAUCCUACUCCCAGUGGGAGUAGGACUCUCCUGCGCCUCCCCCCCUUGGCCGGCCAGCCUCCCCUCCUCUCCUCCUUUAUAUACGGAGGCAGGGGCACCUCUAAACACACAAGUUGACACAAGUUGAUCCACGUGAUCGAUUCCUUAGCCGUGUGCGGUGCCCCCUGCCACCAUAUACCUCGAUAAUACUGUAGCGGAGUUUAGGCGAAGCCCUGCUGCUGUAGUUCAUCAAGAUCGUCACCACGCCGUCGUGCUGACGAAACUCUUCCCCGACACUUUGCUGGAUCGGAGUCCGGGGAUCGUCAUCGGGCUGAACGUGUGCUCGAACUCGGAGGUGCCGUAGUUUCGGUGCUUGAUCGGUUGGAUCGUGAAGACGUACGACUACUUCCUCUACGUCGUGUCAUCGCUUCCGCAGUCGGUCUGCGUUAGGUACGUAGACAACACUCUCCCCUCGUUGCUAUGCAUCACAUGAUCCUGUGUGCGCGUAGGAAAUUUUUUGAAAUUACUACGAAACCCAACAGUGGCAUCCGAGCCUAGGUUAUUGAUGUUGAUGUUAUAUGCACGAGUAGAACACAAGUAAGUUGUGGACGAUACAAGUCAUACUGCCUACCAGCAUGUCAUACUUUGGUUCGGCGGUAUUGUUGGACGAGACGACCCGGACCAACCUUACGCGUACGCUUACGCGAGACCGGUUCCCUCGACGUGCUUUGCACAGAGAUGGCUUGCGGGCGACUGUCUCUCCAACUUUAGUUGAACCAAGUAUGGCUACGCCCGGUCCUUGCGAAGGUUAAAACGGAGUCUAUUUGACAAACUAUCGUUGUGGUUUUGAUGCGUAGGUGAGAUUGGUUCUUACUUAAGCCCGUAGCAGCCACGUAAAACAUGCAACAACAAAGUAGAGGACGUCUAACUUGUUUUUGCAGGGCAUGUUGUGAUGUGAUAUGGUCAAGGCAUGAUGCUGAAUUUUAUUGUAUGAGAUGAUCAUGUUUUGUAACCGAGUUAUCGGCAACUGGCUGGAGCCAUAUGGUUGUCGCUUUAUUGUAUGCAAUGCAAUCGCGAUGUAAUGCUUUACUUUAUUACUAAACGUUAGUGAUAGUCGUGGAAGCAUAAGAUUGGCGAGACGACAACGAUGCUACGAUGGAGAUCAAGGUGUCGCGCCGGUGACGAUGGUGAUCAUGACGGUGCUUCGGAGAUGGAGAUCACAGGCACAAGAUGAUGAUGGCCAUAUCAUAUCACUUAUAUUGAUUGCAUGUGAUGUUUAUCUUUUAUGCAUCUUAUCUUGCUUUGAUUGACGGUAGCAUUAUAAGAUGAUCUCUCACUAAAUUAUCAAGAAGUGUUCUCCCUGAGUAUGCACCGUUGCCAAAGUUCGUCGUGCCCAGACACCACGUGAUGGUCGGGUGUGAUAAGCUCUACGUCCAUCUACAACGGGUGCAAGCCAGUUUUUGCACACGCAGAAUACUCAGGUUAAACUUGACGAGCCUAGCAUAUGCAGAUAUGGCCUCGGAACACGGAGACCGAAAGGUCGAGCGUGAAUCAUAUAGUAGAUAUGAUCAACAUAACGAUGUUCACCAUUGAAAACUACUCCAUCUCACGUGAUGAUCGGUUAUGGUUUAGUUGAUUUGGAUCACGUAAUCACUUAGAGGAUUAGAGGGAUGUCUAUCUAAGUGGGAGUUCUUAAGUAAUAUGAUUAAUUGAACUUAAAUUUAUCAUGAACUUAGUACCUGAUAGUAUCUUGCUUGUUUAUGUUAAUUGUAGAUAGAUGGCUCGUGCUGUUGUUCCGUUGAAUUUUAAUGCGUUCCUUGAGAAAGCAAAGUUGAAAGAUGAUGGUAGCAAUUACACGGACUGGGUCCGUAACUUGAGGAUUAUCCUCAUUGCUGCACAGAAGAAUUACGUCCUGGAAGCACCGCUGGGUGCCAGGCCUGCUGCUGGAGCAACGCCAGAUGUUAUGAACGUCUGGCAGAGCAAAGCUGAUGACUACUCGUUAGUUGAGUGUGCCAUGCUUUACGGCUUAGAAUCGGGACUUCAACGACGUUUUGAACGUCAUGGAGCAUAUGAGAUGUUCCAGGAGUUGAAGUUAAUAUUUCAAGCAAAUGCCCGGAUUGAGAGAUAUGAAGUCUCCAAUAAGUUCUAUAGCUGCAAGAUGGAGGAGAACAGUUCUGUCAGUGAGCAUAUACUCAAAAUGUCUGGGUAUAAUAAUCACUUGAUUCAAUUGGGAGUUAAUCUUCCGGAUGAUUGCGUCAUCGACAGAAUUCUCCAAUCACUGCCACCAAGCUACAAGAGCUUCGUAAUGAACUAUAAUAUGCAAGGGAUGAACAAGACUAUUCCCGAGCUCUUCGCAAUGCUGAAAGCUGCGGAGGUAGAAAUCAAGAAGGAGCAUCAAGUGUUGAUGGUUAACAAGACCACUAGUUUCAAGAAAAAGGGCAAAGGGAAGAAAAAGGGGAACUUCAAAAAGAANNNNNNNNNNNNNNNNNNNNNNNNNNNNNNNNNNNNNNNNNNNNNNNNNNNNNNNNNNNNNNNNNNNNNNNNNNNNNNNNNNNNNNNNNNNNNNNNNNNNCAUCUGAAUAGUUGCAAAAGCUAGUUCAAUAUUUGGCGUCUCAAAAUCAGCUUCUAAAUAGGUCUUUUUGCCCUCCAAAGUUCGCGUAUACACUUUGUUCCAAUUUUUCAGGCGAGUUUUAAAAUUGACUCCUCAUAUCAAUUCGGAAUUGAAUGAUUCUUUUUGCAUUGGAAAACUUGAGUUAGUAGCAAACUUUUCAAGAGGAAAGUUGAAGAGAGAGUUGUUAUAUAUCCUGCUUGGCAGUUGUUAUUCAUCAUUAUCUUUAUUGCCGUUGUGAUCUUCACUUAUAUCUUGCUGUCCAGAGCUACUUAUCCUUCAUUGAUGCUAGUUGUGCUAUGCCGUGACCUCAUUAGUGUUCUAGGCUCGCGUCUCUAAUUCGGUCUAGCCUAGGACCAGCACAGUACCGUCGUUGAGCGUUUAUUCAACAUUGCAUCUUUGAAUUGAUUAUUGCUAAUCUUUUGCUACCAUAUAUAGCCAACCCAGCUCCACAUAUUUCUACACCGUGUAUACGUACGUUCCCCUGGCAAUCGCUCUACACAAUCAUCAGAGUUAUUUGACACCGCUGGUUGCCUGUCACCACCUGUCGCAUGGUAAGAACUUGUAAGAUAUUGAUAUUUGCUUUACUGUGAGCACGUUACAACCACAUCCUAGUUGUUCAUAGGAACAUUAUUCUCGAAUUUUGUUUCUUGUUUCUACUAAUCAUGACAGGUUCCGGAGAAAGAAGUUCUUGGACGACGAACACAUCCUCACCAUCACGAGAGUUGGGACAACACACACAAGCACAUGGUCAGCUUAUCUCUUUACCAUCAUUUGAGGGUAGAUUUAAUCCUGCUAUUUAUCUAGAUUUGGAGCUUGAAGUAGAACAAGUUUUUAGUUACCAUGACUUUUUUGAACUUGAGCGAGUACGAGCUGCCACUAGAGCAUUUACUAGUUUUGCUUCUGUUUGGUGGAGUGUGCAUUGUAAGAAAAACAUUGAUAACCAACCCACAACUUGGAAAUAUUUGAAACAUGUAAUGAGACAACAAUUUUUCCCUCCUUACUAUCGUCGUGAAUUGCUUCGCAAAUUUGAACAAUUUAAACAAGGCAAUAACACUGUUCAUGCUUACUACCAAGAGUUCAAAUCUUAUAUGCAUCAUUGUGACAUAGAAGAAUCUGAGGAUGAUACAAUGAAUAGAUUUUUUGGUGGUUUGAACCAUGAUAUCCAGGCAAGAUUUAGGUAUAUUCCUCGUUGCAUUACUGGUAUGUAUGUUCGUGCUUGUACCUUUGAGAGACAGUUACAGGAGGAUGCAUCGGGUGACUACAACAACUACUAUUCCAAUUCAUGCUCACUAUCAUCGGUUGAUUCCUCCACCGUUGCACCUACUAGAGCAGCCACACCUUAGAUUGUGAGUGCGACAUCAUCUCAAGUGUAUGGUACAUUGUCAUUGUCCAUACCGACAUCAGCUACAUCUUUGCGAGAAGGUAAUAGUAAAGGUAUUGAUUAUAUAACUUCAUAUGAGAAUGAUGCAUCCCUAAUUAACUUAAAUACAUCAUGUGUUGAGUUACCUGUUGAUUUGAGCACGCCAUCUAUUUUAGAGAAUCGUGUUACUAUCAUGAAUGAAUCAUGUGAUCAAACAACUGAAAUACCAACAAUUUUGAGUGCACCCAUUGAAUUAACUAUUGAUGCAAAAGAACCAAUGUUUAAUCAUUUUGAUGUGACCUCUAAUCUUGGUGAUGAUUCUAUGUCCAAUGACUUACUGCAUGUUUGCUUAUUUAAGCAUGUUGUAGCAUGUAAAUUUGAUGCAAGUAAGGUUUAUUCACCAAUGUUGGGAUGGUUUAAUGAUGAAUAUUGUCAAUCUUUUGAUAUGAAUAAGAGCUUCACUUAUAUGUGCAAACUGAGUUGCAAUAUUUUCAUGCCUUCUACUUAUGAUAAUAUUUUAGCUUUAUAUUUUAUGAUCUAUGAAAGUUACUCAUGUAUACAUGUGUCAUAUGUGCAAAAACCAAGGGAAGUAAAAAUGGAUGGCAUAUACAUAUACAACAUGUAUACUUUGUCUCUUUUGUUAGCCACAUUUCAGAUUAAGCAACGCCGAGGACGGCUUUGUUUUCAAAAAGGGGAGGAUGAUGAGGACAUGACUACCUUGGACACGACCAAAAAUAUUGCAUACAUGCAUAUUUGUCAGGUGAUUUCUAGUGCAAACUAUUCAAUAAUCUAUUUAGGUUAUCCAGAACAAAAAUACUUCACACACUUUUGUGUUUUGUCUAAUUGCAGGUGUAUGGGAUAUUUGUACAAUUCACAUAUGAAGAUAAGGGAGAAAGAGAUGUUUAAGUGCUGUUCAAAAAGUUCUCUCACGUCACUUUUGGGCCAAGAGAAGAUAGAGUCCAAGUCUCUCACGUUCUGGAUUCAGAUUCGGACUGCACAGACAUACCUGACUCAAAACGCCAACAACUUUUUCAUACGGACUUCGAAUUGGGUGAUUCUUUUUUUGUUGGAUUCUAGAUUUUGUGCUCUUUCCAGCCCAAUUAGAUUCACAUUCAAAUUCGUCCAGAGCGUUGAGAUAUCGACGAAACAAUCAGACGCUGCAGCAAAAUCCGAGUCAAACAACAAGUCCAAAGGUGUUGCAUCACCUCCACUUGGGCCCAUUGGCCUUGUACGACCUAGGGUUGCUUUUAGGAUGCCUUGGGACGUUCUCCCACCUCCUUGGCCGCCACCCCUUCCUCCUAUAUAAGUAGAUCCAUCUAGUAGCUUUUUCCUUGGAAUUUAUUUAGUUAAAAGUUAGCCAACGCAACUUCGUGUACUUUGUUUGUGUCCAACGACCAGACCAAGACCGCUUUCGGAUCCCCACCUUUAUCAAUACUUCAUACAUAUUUGCAAUAUUCAGAUUGCUUUUAUCAUAUUCUUGCUCGUUCUUCGAUUGCUUGCAGGAAUAGACCUUCGUGGUCAGGUUGAUCGUGCACCGGCGUGGUCAAUAACCUCUGGAGAUUGGUUUAGCAAUUGCUAAGGCGCAACGUCGUGCACGUUNNNNNNNNNNNNNNNNNNNNNNNNNNNNNNNNNNNNNNNNNNNNNNNNNNNNNNNNNNNNNNNNNNNNNNNNNNNNNNNNNNNNNNNNNNNNNNNNNNNNGAGGCACAUUGAUUGUCCUCAUUAAGACGGUCCGAAAUAUUCUCCUGCACGGUCGGACUGAUCAUGCACAACGGCAAUGAGGAAGAACACGAGGCUUCAUCGCUGUUCUUGUCAUGAAAACUCAUGGAGGUUAUAGGAAUGAUAUUAAAUUUACCCAGCUCCUUAGUAGAGGCCUGAAUGAUUGACGUGUCCAGGAAGACCGGAUGGUUGUAACGAAUGGCCAUAGGGCUGCGCGCAGCAAUGGGCUCCAGAUGUUCAUCAACAUGCCAUUGAUGUUCAAAAUGUUUGUACCCAUUGAAAUGACCAUUGAAAAGAUGAAAAUGACAUAUAAAAUCCGGCCAAAUACAAUCUUUGAGCCCAUGAAUGAAAUGACCCACUUUGUUACCAAAUACAGAGAAGCGAAAAGAUCUGUCACUGAGCUUAACCACCUUGAACCCCUUGGGAUGACCCCCAAUACAACAUUGCAAAGCCACACUCACAGAAUCUUCAGUAAGGGGAAAGGAGGCCGAGGAGAAAGAAACCACCAAGAAGAAUUCCUUGGUAUUGCGAGAUGGAGAAAAGUGAACAGUUUCUCCAAAUCUUCAACGUACAUGUUCUGAGACUGCAAGACCAGGAUUGAAAUCCCAGUGUAGUAGGCCUUCCAUGGUGAGGAUUAGUGGUUAGAUCCAUGGUGGAGAGGAAGCAGGUUGGAGAGAGGAGAGGAGAGGAGCCAUUCUACCACGAGAAAUCUGUGGAGGGGGGCACCGUAGGAUUUACUGAGGGAAUAGUGGUACUGGGGGAGGCGAGUGAGGCGAGGGUACGCGGGGGCACAGUGAGAUGAUGAAUAGUGACCUUAGGAUCUCCGGCGACACGGAGAUGGAGAUGGAGUGGUGCUAGGGGAGAGGGUGACGAGGUGAGGCAUGCUAUACAGCGGCAGUGAUAGUGACUGCACAGUGCACAAGGUGAGGCUGACUUUGGUAACCCGAACACGCCGCCUGGACUGGUGUCACCUCGAGCGCAAGGGCCUGUCAGUUCACUGUGAGGACCGGAUGAAUAAUAUUUUGACCAUCAAGUGUACCACAGUUGUACUACUACUACUAGUAGGAGUAGUAGGAACAUGAGUAUUAUUGUAUAGCGGAAAUAGGUCUCCCACGCUAGCAUGCCUUUGGGUUCACUUCAUCCUCUAGGUAUCAUCCAUAAUGCGAGCAGAACCAAAUUCUCGUGCAUGCGGAAGCGCGAAGAAGGCCUUUUAUUUUUUGAGGAUAACUGCGUAUUCUUAACUAGAAAAAUGUUGUGUCUCCCAUGCACAUGCCAAUAUCCAUCCGAACCAGCUACGACACAUUUUUUAAAUCCGUUUGCAUAGGUCCCACCUGUCAGUGGCACAUGUAGCGCUCGAAGGAUGGGCACGUACAGGGAAAGGUACCACUCCUCAGAUUACCGACAUAUCCUUUUCGUUUAGUCUAUGUAGCCAUCUAAUCAACUGCCUGCAGGCCACUUCUCCCAUUUACUUCUCCAUCAGGAACCGACUUUCCUCGGCUUCUUCACUACUCCUUCAUCUUCAUUUGCAUCCAAACCACACUGCAUUCACAUUGUUUUAACAUCUUCACAUUCUCCUAGAGUAAUUCCGAAGCCCCUUUAAAUAAUAAUCUUCUUUAGCUAGACUAGCCAUCUAAUCCUAAUUCCUCAAACCAUAGCCCUCCGGUCCAGCGGUUCCAAAUAGCGAAAGAGAUCGAGACGCAGGUUUUUAGUGUCCAACAUGUCCUCGUCAAAGGCUCAUUGAGCAUAGUUGCCACAAUCACCGACCACCCAAGGGUUGUUCGGAAGUGGAUCAACAAUGUAUCCAACUCCCUCCAAAAGGUGGGGAUGAAGGUCAUCGGUCUCGACGCAGAGUACACGGAGCAUGCCACUUGGAAGAUCCAACGUGCCGCCGUCCUUCAGUUGUGCCUCGGAGAUGAUGUUUUGGUGUACCACAUCAUACACGCGCCCUUCAUACCAGGUGAGCUUCACGAUUUCUUGUCUCGGGAGGACAUAUACUUCUGUGGGGCAGCCAUCACAGGGGACAAACAGAAGUUGGAGCCGUACAACCUUGAUUUGAAAAGCAUCACUGGCAUUCAAACCAAAAUAAAAUUUCCUGUAGAACAUUGUGAUAAACCGACGCCAUCACUAUUCGACAUAGCAAAUUUUGUGGUCAGAACAAAUCUUCAGAAGGGUGACGAGAUGCUGGCAUUAAGGUCGUCUAGAUGGGAGAAAUUAUCCCUUGUCAUACGAGCGGAUAAAAUAUGCUGCCUCCAUGCCCGUGUGAGAUUCGAGAUAGAUGCAAGGUCCAAAGAGCUUGUUGCGAAGCUGUCUCCCACAUAAAAUGAGAAGAAGAAGCUGCACCAGCAGCAGGGCAUUAUGGAUGGAUGAACUAUUUCCUCUCUUGUAAAGAAAAUUAUUCCCUCUCUCUGUAUAUUGAUAUAGAUGGGACCUUUCCUAAAAAUAGGACAUAUGAGUUUGCUCGAAAUUCACCGAAACGGAAAUAAAUCGACAUUUCGGUAAAACAUAAGCAACUCGAGGGCAUGUCACUAGCACAAAUCUCUCCAUGUAUGUAUAUAUAUAUAUAUAUAUAUAUAUAUCCCAAACACACAUAUUCUCACUCACACACAUAUUCGCAUUCUUGAAAUGAACAACUUUUUACUCACCUAUAUAUAUCUCCCGGGAGGGACCGAGAGCAGGCGGUUAAUUAGAUGAUGAGAGAGAACGAUCGACAGACCACGUGUGGUUGGCUAAAUAGCUAGCUACAUCUAGUUGUUUGGAGGAGAGGUGAAUCUAGCUAGCUAACUAAUGGAGAGGGGUUACGGUGGAUGGGGGCAUUAAUGGGGGAGACAGGAGAGGUGUAGGAGAAAGAGAGAGGCCAUUUAUGGAGGAGUGUGCCAUUAAUGAGGAGAGAAGAGAGGUAGGAGGAAGAGAGAAGAAGAGAAACAACGGUGGAGCUAGAGUGGAGAGGGGAGAGGGGAAAGGAGGGCGAGAGAGGGCAAAGNNNNNNNNNNNNNNNNNNNNNNNNNNNNNNNNNNNNNNNNNNNNNNNNNNNNNNNNNNNNNNNNNNNNNNNNNNNNNNNNNNNNNNNNNNNNNNNNNNNNUUACAAAAGCUAACCCUUAAACCGCUCGCGACCAUCCGGACAUGUUUUGCCAUCCAAUACGGUCCUAUAUCGGCCCACAGGCCGGUCUGGAUGUGCAUUUUCCUGUAAACCAAAAACAAACUACGGGGCUUUGUGGGCGUCUGGACCGCUGCCACGGCCGCUUCUUACUCCCCUGGCCCACCAAAAACACCUGUCCCGCGCCCGCACCCCUUCACAUGAGAAGCAGUUAGGUACCAGUGCUCCAGAGCACCGGUACCUCAUUCAUGCCUAUUUGGAGUAGCCGCGAUGAAUAUACUCAUGUUGAGGAGAAGUACCAGCCACAAAAAUCAAUGUAAUUGAUUGAUGAAUUGGAUGCUUCUCUGGAAAUAAUUGAUCAAGGGCAAGCCAAGGAUGUGGAUAGUCCUUACUACUUUAAUAAUACUCCAUUUGAAAGUCCAAGGAAAUACUUCAAUUUAAUUCAAAUUUCAGACUCAUUUUGUUAUCUUUAGAUUAAUGCAACAUAAAUAUCUACUUAAUGCAUAAUAUAUAUAAUUAGGGGUGAACUUGUGAGUGGGCACAUGAGUGGAACUCAAACAAACAAUCAUAUGUAGACAAGAGAUGUGUUUGUCUUUUAUUCCCAUGUUUGAACUAGUAUAGUUCGGGUUCUUACAUGAUAGUGCAUGUCACUUUAUUUUUUCACCGCUACAACGACCAAACCAUGGACUAAGAAAACGGUGUAUCAUAUAUCUACUACUAGAGUUCUUCUAUUCUCAGUUAGUACCGAAGAUGCCAACUGGAGCAAUGGUGCAAUAUGGAGGGAUAUAGACAUUGCACAUUGCAGGUAGCGUCUCUAGCGCUAGGUUCCUUAUUUCCUCAAACUGGGGCAGUUGUUGAGGCUGGACAGAGCCCUGGGCCUGUGGGUUUUGCUGAGAUGGCUGGAAGGAGCCCUGGCCUGAUGGAUAUUGUUGUUGAGACUGUUGGAAGCAGACCUGGCUCAACGGUUGUUGUUGUUGUUGUUGUUGUUGUUGUUGUUGUUGUUGUUGUUGAUGCAGAAUAAUAGCAUGAACAACAUUGUGGAUGGCUUGGCACCGCGACUGCUCGGGGAUCUGCCAUAGCUGCUGACAACACAAUUGUUGCACCAGCUGGUAAGUACUUUGUUGCAAAACUUGUGAGCUUCCAUGCGCUAUGCUGUGUUGUUGCAAUACAACAUCCCUGCAUGGAAUCAGUUGUUGUUGCAAAAUUUGUUGAAGGAUCUGUUGUUGUUGUUGUUGUUGCUGCUGCUGCUGCUGCUGCUGCUGCGAAAUUGGUUGUUGUGGUUGCGAAUACUGUGGUUGCGGUUGUGGAUAUGAUUGUUGUGGUCGAAAUGGUUGCGGCUGCGGAUAUGGUAGUUGCGGCUGCGGAUAUGGUAGUUGCGGCUGCGGAAAUGGUUGCAGCUGCAUAUAUGGUUGUUGUGAUGGAAAUGGUUGCAGCUGCGGAUAUGGCUGUUGUGGUGGAAAUGGUUGUUGCUGCCCUGGAAAUUGUUGUUGUUGUACCAAUGGAACUUGCUUUUGUGGUUGUUGCUGAGAUGGAUUUUGUGGCUGCAAUUGUGGCACUGGAACUCUAACUGCAAUUGUGGCGGUGGUUGCUACAAUAGCACGGAGGGCAAGGAUGAGAAAGGUCUUCAUGG